AGAUAAUAAUAAUAAUCAUGUUUCCAUAAAAUUGCUAAGUCCAGAGAUAAUACAUAAACAUAGUAGACUGUUCAUGACACAUAUCACGGUGGACAGUGUUUGUGUCCUUAUUACAAGCAACGAGAGAUGCUCGUCACCAACACGCGCGCGCACAGAUGCACGACAUACAUAUAGUAGAGACCAACAGAUGGUCGUCCCAUAUGGUGAACAAUUUAUUGGAGAUAAAUAUUAACGUAACUUGGCCAUAGCUUGAAGCAUAGCAACAUAUGCCUAUGAGUGGCAUUCAUGCUAUCGUUUUAGGCUUGUCCAGCUCCUUCCAUCUUAGCAAGCACUUCCAUUUCUACCAUCUUAGCAGCAACUGUCAAAUUGAGAUACGGAAAUCCCAUUAGCGCAUGAGUUAAUUUUGCAGUGGAAAUAGAGUACAAGAUGUCUUCAUGAUGUAAGUAAUAUGCCUGAAGUUGUGAGAUGGGAAGUGAAGUCAACAAAUUACAUUAACGGAAAUGCAUGGAAGGCCACACAUACGUAUUAGUCCAUGAUAUGCUACAAAGCUUGUAUGUACAUAUAGCAAAUUAAAUGCAUUAAUUGAAUAGAGUGUGUUUAGUGAAUUUACCAGAAUCGUCCAGAAAACAUGGGAAACAGCAAGUGUUCUUGCAGACUGCGUCGGAGGCACCCGCACGAAUACAAAGCUGACAACAUAGUUUUGCCUGGGCGGAUGCGCAGCAGCCGCACUCCGCCGCGGUGGGGUUAACAUUGAGGCUCAAGAUGACCAGGCACAUGAUCACCAUCAAAGUGGUAGUCCUCUUUCCCUCCAUUGCCUCCUCUUAGCUUGCUGCUACCUUCCUUGGUUACCUAGCUAAGUUUAUUGGUUUUGUGUUGAGAGGUGUGAUUCUUGAAUGGACGUUGCCGGCGGCAAUUUAUAGGCAGCUGAGCUAUGUGAUGAUAUGGACUAGGUGCAAAUGGGUGGUUAAUGGCAAGGAAAGGGGCGUCAGACAAAGCCCAAUGGCAACUGCUGACAUGCGAUUAAAUUCAGAUCCACAUCCGGCCAUUCAAUAAUACGGUUGGAGUUGUGGCACAGAUAUAUUAUUGCAUGAUCAUCAAGAUAAGAUCGUACAGUGACUGAGUGAGACAAUAAAUAGCCAAGUAAACUAUUUUAUCCUGCUGCAAGCUGCAUUCAUAAGUUUAUUUCACCUUUGAUCACAAUACUCUUCACACACGUACGUCUCAGGGAGAUCUCACUUCCGCUGGACUGCUCACUUCCGCUGUCGUCGGUACUGCCAAAGACAUAAGCUCACAUCUGCUAUUGCGGAGCAGGCCAAUUUGCUGCGGAACUUCGGCGACGACCUGAAGGACAUGAACUCGGUGCUGGAGUCCAUCUCAGCAGCGCUCUAGGACGCUGACACCGGUAGAAAAACGACCUUCCAUCGUCAACAAAAAUCCCGGUAGCUUUUUUACUCGGUACUAAAGAGGUUUUAAUCUCGUGCAAACACCUUUAGUCCAGAUUGCUAUUACCACGCAACCCGGACUAAAGCGUCCCCCGCGAGUUAGUAUAUAAGGAUUGCAUCCUUUACUCAGUCAGAUAUAAUAUGUAGGUGAGAUGGUAAGGAAGCUAUGCGUGAGGCUUCAGGUUGUGGGUUCGAAUCCAAGUGGGUGCAGCUGUGGCUUAAGCGGCUGAGGCACGCCGCCAUAGACAUCUCAGAUUUGCUCGAAGACUACCAAGACACUAGUGAACCCUUAACAGUAAAGGUGAGUACUUAUGAAUGUCAGCAUCCAUGUUGUCCAUGCUUCCAAUGUAAUAACAAGAUGGACUACUCUUCCUAGCGGACUCUUCACAACCACUCGUAAAGCUAUGCGUUUCUCAAUGCAAUUUCGUAGAAGCCAAUCGAUCCAACCAAGUGACUAAAUCAUUCGUCCUUUCCAAUGAUGUGCAUCAGGUUUUCUAUAUGAAGGGCAUGUCUAGCAAACCUAAGAUUUCAGAAGAAAAAGAAAAAUCAUUGGAGCCAAAGAGCCACAUAGUUCUUCUAGGAAAAAAAUCAUGGGAGUCGAGAACAUAUCAAACCAAUCAGGGGAUUAUGGUCAGCUUAAUGGCAUGCCUCCAUUCGAUGUCGAAGUUCACCCAAGCAUCAUGUUAGCCAAACAUCAAAUGUUCGUGCGUUGUUACGGUAAAGAUCAAUUGUGUUUUUUAAACUCUUGGAAUUUUUUUAUCUAAGUUUUUAUUUACACUUAUUGGAUGUCUACACAUUUGCUAGAAAACUAAAAUAAUUUGGACUUAAUUAUUUCUUUCAACUGAAGUACUCACUAAAUUUCUACCUUUUUAUUUAAGCAAGAGAGUUGCUAAAAAAAAUGGAUACGUAACCAUGUUGUAUCAUACAAAGUAACCACGUUUCACAUAUAGUCCGGCUUAGCAAACACCAUUGUUUUCUGAACAUAGCGUACAUGAGUUAACAGACAUGGAUUUAUUUCUAUUGCAAGUAGCAUAGCGUACAACCUGCCUGCACCGAUGCAGCUCAAUAUGCGAUAAUUUUUAUCUUCCCAUGUAAUUUUUCUACUCUAGUACAUAUUGAACUCCACAUUAAUGUCAUGUUCUUUCGCGCCCCAGAAGGUUCCUAAAGUUUGGAAACUUAAUAGAUAGCCAGAAUUUUUUUUAAAGAUAUUUAUAUGGAUACUUGUAUGUUCUUUCCAAACUAACAAUAUUGUUUACCAAUAUCAGAAGGAAUAUGGUUAGGAGCCAUUGCCGCAUAUGGCAGGUGAUGGUAGAUGGCGUAUGGGGUUUCGUUAAUUUAAUGGUAUAAUAAGCUGAAAUACAUUUUCUAUUUGCAAAUGAAUCAUAGCUGAAAUUGGUGGGAUUGUUUUUUUCGCCGGUUUAGCAUCCUGUGCACCAGUUCAACCGGAGGGAAGCUGUUUUUUUUCUUUGGUUUUCCACCGGUUCACCGAGACCGAUGACAAUUUUAUGGCAGAAUCAUUACUUGUUUUACUAUUAGGUGAAGAUUUUAGCGUUUAGGUAUCUCACAUUAAACGCAACUUCAACAAUCUAUUUCUAGUGUAUAAUGUAGGAGACCCCGUAAAGAGUCUACACACACAUAUAUGUUGACUAUGAAUGUAAGUUUGUUGGUUUUAUGUAUGUUCGUUUGGAGUUUAUAUAAAUUUUACAUUUUAUAGUUUUGUGUAUAUGACGAAGAUCCAUGACUUGCAUUAAUUUAGCCUUUCUUCCAACAACUCUUAUGCAUGCUGUUUCUAGGCGAGCGUACUGGUUGCAAUUUUGGUCCCCGAUAUAGUGUGAGGACUUAAGGGACACGUGCAGGUCGUAACCUUAGAUAUUUUUGCUGAGAAUGGAUGAAGAAGCAAUAAUAUACUUUGCUUCUGAUUUUCUCCAUGUCAUUUGCUUACUCUUAUCCCUUUUAUUUAUCAUUAUAAGAUGAAAAUAUUGUAAAAACUUGGCUACGUGCGGUCGCAGAAGCUAGAGACUAAAGCGUCCCCCACGAGUUACUAUAUAAAAGGAUUGCAUCCUCUACUCAGUCAUAUGUACUGUGUAGGUGAGAUGGUAAGGAAGCUAUGUGUGAGGCUUGAGGUUGUAGGUUCGAAUCCCACGCACCGCGUGCGCAUGCGCAUAUUUUGCGUGAAAAAUCGCAUGACUUGUGGUCGGCCAAGGAGAAGUGCGUGCGGCUGAGGCACGCCGCCAUAGACAUCUCGGAUUUGCUCCAAGACUACCAAGACACUAGCGAACCCUUAACGGCAAAGUUGAGUACUUACGCGUGUUAGCAUCUAUGUUGUCCAUGCUUCCAAUGCAAUAACAAGAAGGGCUACUCAUCCUAGCGGAUUCUUCACAACCACUCGUAAAGCUAUGCGUUUCUCAAUGCAAUUUCGUAGAUGUCAAUCGAUCCAACCAAGCGACUGAAUCAUUCGUCCUUGCUAAUGAUGUGCAUCAGGUUUUCUAUAUGAAGAACAUGUCUAGCAAAUCCAAGAUUUCAGAAGAAAAAUAAAAAUCAUGAGAACCAAAGCACCACGUAGUUCUUCCAGGUAAAAAAAACAAUCAUCCACUGGGAUGACACACAGUAGCGAUCCAAAACGUCCAUAUUAAGACUUUUUGAUAGCAGAAAAAACAUGAAAAUGUCUAAUAUUUGUAGUAUUAAAAGGAAAAAUAAUAUAUUCACUUGACCUUUUUUUCGUAGCAACGCACCGGUGCGUAGUCAGACUUAGGCCACGUUUGGAUACUCCCUACUAAAGUUUAGCACCUGUCACAUAGGAUGUUUGGAUACUAAUUAGGAGUAUUAAACAUAGGCUAAUUAUAAAACUAAUUGAACAGAUGGAGUCUAAUUUGCGAGACGAAUCUAUUAAGCCUAACUAGUCCAUGAUUUGACAAUGUGGUGCUACAGUAACCAUUUGCUAAUGGUGGAUUAAUUAGGCUUAAUAGAUUCGUCUCGCGAAUUAACAUAGGGUUCUGCAAUUAAUUUUAUAAUUAGCUCAUGUCUAGUCCUUCUAAUUAGCAUCCGAACAUCUGAUAUGAUACUGCUAAAGUUUAUCACCUAGUAUCCAAAUACCCCCUUAAUGCACGAUGCCUGUGCAUCCACUGGGCCUACCCUCGUGGAUCACGCGCUCGUGGAUCACGCGCACCAUGACAUGGCUCAUUAGCUAGUCGUGCUAAUCCUUACCACCAAAUUAAAAACUAGCAUGUGUUGUGUGUUUGUGACCCUAAACGACUACCACCUUCCCGAGUCCACCGGAGUUGCCAGUUCACCACUAAGCUGACUCUCCGAGCUUCAUGUCACUGUCACCGCUCCAAAGACCUAGAUCGGUUCGCUGUGCACCCCGCUUCGUCCUGAGCUAAAUCCCAUCACGAAAGGUGACCGGAUGCUCGUUUUCGAGCGAAUUCUAGCGAGAUUGCCACCACCUUUCCCCUUCCAGCCGAUCGCAGCUGUCUGAUCACAAACCGACAGCCCAGAUCGGAUUUGACCAGGUCAAUACCGGUCAAGCCGAGAUGCAUGCUGCUUUUGCAAGAAGGCCCCUAUUUUUCUCUCUUUUUGCACUUGAGGUCCUACGCAGUUCAAAAGUAAUUAGAUCUAGAUCCUUUUUCUUCUGUUUUAGCCCUGUUCUUUUAUAAAAUCCCACCCGCCAUCCUGUUUGGUAUUUUGACAUGUUAGACCUUCUAUUUAUAUGUUUAAUUAGGUUUUAGCCCUUGGUUUCUUUAAGUUUAGCUCUUGGAAGUUUAGUUUUCUCGCAGUUAAGCCCCUGAACCUUGUUUAGUUCAUAUCUUUAGCGUUUUAAAUCCGUUUUAAGAGAUUCUUACGCCCAUAAGUUCGUGUUGAUGCAUAGAUUAGUUGACUUAUACGGACCUUGCUGAUUCAGCUCCUUCAUUGUGCUUCAGAUCUCGCUAGUGAAGAAUAAUGGAUGGGCUUUGGUUGAGCUUGUAGAUCGACCUGCAGUUGCAGUGAAUGUGCUGAGGACUGGCGGUACCAAUAAUGGGAGGCCGCUGCUCUGCUUGCUACCAAGGCCUGCGACGCUUGGACGCCAUUCAGAGUGCAUAAUUUCCAAGGAUCUCAAGGGCUCCACACCACGUUCCAAGUGUUUUUUCUUUGCCGAGUGUUUUUAGCUCGGCACUUGGCAAAGAGCUUGUUUGCCGAGUGUCCGAAAAAAACACUUGGCAAAGAGAAAACACUCGGCAAAUUUGAUGUUUCCCGUAGUGAUGUACUAUUCAAACUUGAACUGGGAUGCAGGCUUCAGUACCAAAGAGAGCUCUGGGCGCGGGUGAGCAGUGAGCUGGCCGGGCAGGGAGCUCCAAAGCGACAGCAACAAAGAGAGAAAUGCUAAGAGUAAGAACGACACACGAGGUCACUUCACAUAGAUAAUAGCAGUACGAACCAUACAAUAUCCUCUCUCAGUUUCACUCCGCCUCACACACGGCUAGCACACCAUGCAUGCCGAUUUCAUAUUAUUAAUAUUAUUUUUUGGAUGGUUGUUGAAACUAUAUAUAUAGUUAGUCCAAUCUCACGUUUCCGAUUAUAAAAAUCAACGUAAAGAGAUCGGAAGGGAGAGCCGGCAUAAUGAAGCCGACGCGUGUAAUAAGCACCAGAGCCGGCAUUUAUACAAACUGGUACGAAUAGUAAAAAACUAGAAUUUAUAAAUAAAAAAAUGAUUUGCACAUCUAUGCAAUAAUUAGGGGUUAGUGGCAGGUCUAGAGAGAUAUCUCAUCAUUAUAUCCGGUUUAACGAGGAUAAAAAAGAGUGUAUUUUCCACUCAUCAUGUUGUCUUUUCGCAGCGGUACCACUUUUCGUGUGUUGUAUCGGUCCCCUAAUACGGAGUCUCCGAGGCCCGAGAAAAUAAGGAAAGUGAUAGUAGCCCAGAAAUCGGCCAAGUUUCUUUCCCCUUUGGCUUUCCUACUAGGAUUCAGAAUCCUCUUUCGCAUGACAAUCUUAAUUAUCUCCCAUACUCCAAAACUCACAAAAACAUCAAGAUUCCGCUGAGAAUAAAUUUAAGUAAAAAACAUGCACACACAGAUAAUAAUAAUAAUCAUGUUUCCAUAAAAUUGCUAAGUCCAGAGAUAAUACAUAAACAUAGUAGACUGUUCAUGACACAUAUCACGGUGGACAGUGUUUGUGUCCUUAUUACAAGCAACGAGAGAUGCUCGUCACCAACACGCGCGCGCACAGAUGCACGACAUACAUAUAGUAGAGACCAACAGAUGGUCGUCCCAUAUGGUGAACAAUUUAUUGGGGAUAAAUAUUAACGUAACUUGGCCAUAGCUUGAAGCAUAGCAACAUAUGCCUAUGAGUGGCAUUCAUGCUAUCGUUUUAGGCUUGUCCAGCUCCUUCCAUCUUAGCAAGCACUUCCAUUUCUACCAUCUUAGCAGCAACUGUCAAAUUGAGAUACGGAAAUCCCAUUAGCGCAUGAGUUAAUUUUGCAGUGGAAAUAGAGUACAAGAUGUCUUCAUGAUGUAAGUAAUAUGCCUGAAGUUGUGAGAUGGGAAGUGAAGUCAACAAAUUACAUUAACGGAAAUGCAUGGAAGGCCACACAUACGUAUUAGUCCAUGAUAUGCUACAAAGCUUGUAUGUACAUAUAGCAAAUUAAAUGCAUUAAUUGAAUAGAGUGUGUUUAGUGAAUUUACCAGAAUCGUCCAGAAAACAUGGGAAACAGCAAGUGUUCUUGCAGACUGCGUCGGAGGCACCCGCACGAAUACAAAGCUGACAACAUAGUUUUGCCUGGGCGGAUGCGCAGCAGCCGCACUCCGCCGCGGUGGGGUUAACAUUGAGGCUCAAGAUGACCAGGCACAUGAUCACCAUCAAAGUGGUAGUCCUCUUUCCCUCCAUUGCCUCCUCUUAGCUUGCUGCUACCUUCCUUGGUUACCUAGCUAAGUUUAUUGGUUUUGUGUUGAGAGGUGUGAUUUUUGAAUGGACGUUGCCGGCGGCAAUUUAUAGGCAGCUGAGCUAUGUGAUGAUAUGGACUAGGUGCAAAUGGGUGGUUAAUGGCAAGGAAAGGGGCGUCAGACAAAGCCCAAUGGCAACUGCUGACAUGCGAUUAAAUUCAGAUCCACAUCCGGCCAUUCAAUAAUACGGUUGGAGUUGUGGCACAGAUAUAUUAUUGCAUGAUCAUCAAGAUAAGAUCGUACAGUGACUGAGUGAGACAAUAAAUAGCCAAGUAAACUAUUUUAUCCUGCUGCAAGCUGCAUUCAUAAGUUUAUUUCACCUUUGAUCACAAUACUCUUCACACACGUACGUCUCAGGGAGAUCUCACUUCCGCUGGACUGCUCACUUCCGCUGUCGUCGGUACUGCCAAAGACAUAAGCUCACAUCUGCUAUUGCGGAGCAGGCCAAUUUGCUGCGGAACUUCGGCGACGACCUGAAGGACAUGAACUCGGUGCUGGAGUCCAUCUCAGCAGCGCUCUAGGACGCUGACACCGGUAGAAAAACGACCUUCCAUCGUCAACAAAAAUCCCGGUAGCUUUUUUACUCGGUACUAAAGAGGUUUUAAUCUCGUGCAAACACCUUUAGUCCAGAUUGCUAUUACCACGCAACCCGGACUAAAGCGUCCCCCGCGAGUUAGUAUAUAAGGAUUGCAUCCUUUACUCAGUCAGAUAUAAUAUGUAGGUGAGAUGGUAAGGAAGCUAUGCGUGAGGCUUCAGGUUGUGGGUUCGAAUCCAAGUGGGUGCAGCUGUGGCUUAAGCGGCUGAGGCACGCCGCCAUAGACAUCUCAGAUUUGCUCGAAGACUACCAAGACACUAGUGAACCCUUAACAGUAAAGGUGAGUACUUAUGAAUGUCAGCAUCCAUGUUGUCCAUGCUUCCAAUGUAAUAACAAGAUGGACUACUCUUCCUAGCGGACUCUUCACAACCACUCGUAAAGCUAUGCGUUUCUCAAUGCAAUUUCGUAGAAGCCAAUCGAUCCAACCAAGUGACUAAAUCAUUCGUCCUUUCCAAUGAUGUGCAUCAGGUUUUCUAUAUGAAGGGCAUGUCUAGCAAACCUAAGAUUUCAGAAGAAAAAGAAAAAUCAUUGGAGCCAAAGAGCCACAUAGUUCUUCUAGGAAAAAAAUCAUGGGAGUCGAGAACAUAUCAAACCAAUCAGGGGAUUAUGGUCAGCUUAAUGGCAUGCCUCCAUUCGAUGUCGAAGUUCACCCAAGCAUCAUGUUAGCCAAACAUCAAAUGUUCGUGCGUUGUUACGGUAAAGAUCAAUUGUGUUUUUUAAACUCUUGGAAUUUUUUUAUCUAAGUUUUUAUUUACACUUAUUGGAUGUCUACACAUUUGCUAGAAAACUAAAAUAAUUUGGACUUAAUUAUUUCUUUCAACUGAAGUACUCACUAAAUUUCUACCUUUUUAUUUAAGCAAGAGAGUUGCUAAAAAAAAUGGAUACGUAACCAUGUUGUAUCAUACAAAGUAACCACGUUUCACAUAUAGUCCGGCUUAGCAAACACCAUUGUUUUCUGAACAUAGCGUACAUGAGUUAACAGACAUGGAUUUAUUUCUAUUGCAAGUAGCAUAGCGUACAACCUGCCUGCACCGAUGCAGCUCAAUAUGCGAUAAUUUUUAUCUUCCCAUGUAAUUUUUCUACUCUAGUACAUAUUGAACUCCACAUUAAUGUCAUGUUCUUUCGCGCCCCAGAAGGUUCCUAAAGUUUGGAAACUUAAUAGAUAGCCAGAAUUUUUUUUAAAGAUAUUUAUAUGGAUACUUGUAUGUUCUUUCCAAACUAACAAUAUUGUUUACCAAUAUCAGAAGGAAUAUGGUUAGGAGCCAUUGCCGCAUAUGGCAGGUGAUGGUAGAUGGCGUAUGGGGUUUCGUUAAUUUAAUGGUAUAAUAAGCUGAAAUACAUUUUCUAUUUGCAAAUGAAUCAUAGCUGAAAUUGGUGGGAUUGUUUUUUCGCCGGUUUAGCAUCCUGUGCACCAGUUCAACCGGAGGGAAGCUGUUUUUUUUCUUUGGUUUUCCACCGGUUCACCGAGACCGAUGACAAUUUUAUGGCAGAAUCAUUACUUGUUUUACUAUUAGGUGAAGAUUUUAGCGUUUAGGUAUCUCACAUUAAACGCAACUUCAACAAUCUAUUUCUAGUGUAUAAUGUAGGAGACCCCGUAAAGAGUCUACACACACAUAUAUGUUGACUAUGAAUGUAAGUUUGUUGGUUUUAUGUAUGUUCGUUUGGAGUUUAUAUAAAUUUUACAUUUUAUAGUUUUGUGUAUAUGACGAAGAUCCAUGACUUGCAUUAAUUUAGCCUUUCUUCCAACAACUCUUAUGCAUGCUGUUUCUAGGCGAGCGUACUGGUUGCAAUUUUGGUCCCCGAUAUAGUGUGAGGACUUAAGGGACACGUGCAGGUCGUAACCUUAGAUAUUUUUGCUGAGAAUGGAUGAAGAAGCAAUAAUAUACUUUGCUUCUGAUUUUCUCCAUGUCAUUUGCUUACUCUUAUCCCUUUUAUUUAUCAUUAUAAGAUGAAAAUAUUGUAAAAACUUGGCUACGUGCGGUCGCAGAAGCUAGAGACUAAAGCGUCCCCCACGAGUUACUAUAUAAAAGGAUUGCAUCCUCUACUCAGUCAUAUGUACUGUGUAGGUGAGAUGGUAAGGAAGCUAUGUGUGAGGCUUGAGGUUGUAGGUUCGAAUCCCACGCACCGCGUGCGCAUGCGCAUAUUUUGCGUGAAAAAUCGCAUGACUUGUGGUCGGCCAAGGAGAAGUGCGUGCGGCUGAGGCACGCCGCCAUAGACAUCUCGGAUUUGCUCCAAGACUACCAAGACACUAGCGAACCCUUAACGGCAAAGUUGAGUACUUACGCGUGUUAGCAUCUAUGUUGUCCAUGCUUCCAAUGCAAUAACAAGAAGGGCUACUCAUCCUAGCGGAUUCUUCACAACCACUCGUAAAGCUAUGCGUUUCUCAAUGCAAUUUCGUAGAUGUCAAUCGAUCCAACCAAGCGACUGAAUCAUUCGUCCUUGCUAAUGAUGUGCAUCAGGUUUUCUAUAUGAAGAACAUGUCUAGCAAAUCCAAGAUUUCAGAAGAAAAAUAAAAAUCAUGAGAACCAAAGCACCACGUAGUUCUUCCAGGUAAAAAAAACAAUCAUCCACUGGGAUGACACACAGUAGCGAUCCAAAACGUCCAUAUUAAGACUUUUUGAUAGCAGAAAAAACAUGAAAAUGUCUAAUAUUUGUAGUAUUAAAAGGAAAAAUAAUAUAUUCACUUGACCUUUUUUUCGUAGCAACGCACCGGUGCGUAGUCAGACUUAGGCCACGUUUGGAUACUCCCUACUAAAGUUUAGCACCUGUCACAUAGGAUGUUUGGAUACUAAUUAGGAGUAUUAAACAUAGGCUAAUUAUAAAACUAAUUGAAUAGAUGGAGUCUAAUUUGCGAGACGAAUCUAUUAAGCCUAACUAGUCCAUGAUUUGACAAUGUGGUGCUACAGUAACCAUUUGCUAAUGGUGGAUUAAUUAGGCUUAAUAGAUUCGUCUCGCGAAUUAACAUAGGGUUCUGCAAUUAAUUUUAUAAUUAGCUCAUGUCUAGUCCUUCUAAUUAGCAUCCGAACAUCUGAUAUGAUACUGCUAAAGUUUAUCACCUAGUAUCCAAAUACCCCCUUAAUGCACGAUGCCUGUGCAUCCACUGGGCCUACCCUCGUGGAUCACGCGCUCGUGGAUCACGCGCACCAUGACAUGGCUCAUUAGCUAGUCGUGCUAAUCCUUACCACCAAAUUAAAAACUAGCAUGUGUUGUGUGUUUGUGACCCUAAACGACUACCACCUUCCCGAGUCCACCGGAGUUGCCAGUUCACCACUAAGCUGACUCUCCGAGCUUCAUGUCACUGUCACCGCUCCAAAGACCUAGAUCGGUUCGCUGUGCACCCCGCUUCGUCCUGAGCUAAAUCCCAUCACGAAAGGUGACCGGAUGCUCGUUUUCGAGCGAAUUCUAGCGAGAUUGCCACCACCUUUCCCCUUCCAGCCGAUCGCAGCUGUCUGAUCACAAACCGACAGCCCAGAUCGGAUUUGACCAGGUCAAUACCGGUCAAGCCGAGAUGCAUGCUGCUUUUGCAAGAAGGCCCCUAUUUUUCUCUCGUUUUGCACUUGAGGUCCUACGCAGUUCAAAAGUAAUUAGAUCUAGAUCCUUUUUCUUCUGUUUUAGCCCUGUUCUUUUAUAAAAUCCCACCCGCCAUCCUGUUUGGUAUUUUGACAUGUUAGACCUUCUAUUUAUAUGUUUAAUUAGGUUUUAGCCCUUGGUUUCUUUAAGUUUAGCUCUUGGAAGUUUAGUUUUCUCGCAGUUAAGCCCCUGAACCUUGUUUAGUUCAUAUCUUUAGCGUUUUAAAUCCGUUUUAAGAGAUUCUUACGCCCAUAAGUUCGUGUUGAUGCAUAGAUUAGUUGACUUAUACGGACCUUGCUGAUUCAGCUCCUUCAUUGUGCUUCAGAUCUCGCUAGUGAAGAAUAAUGGAUGGGCUUUGGUUGAGCUUGUAGAUCGACCUGCAGUUGCAGUGAAUGUGCUGAGGACUGGCGGUACCAAUAAUGGGAGGCCGCUGCUCUGCUUGCUACCAAGGCCUGCGACGCUUGGACGCCAUUCAGAGUGCAUAAUUUCCAAGGAUCUCAAGGGCUCCACACCACGUUCCAAGUGUUUUUUCUUUGCCGAGUGUUUUUAGCUCGGCACUUGGCAAAGAGCUUGUUUGCCGAGUGUCCGAAAAAAACACUUGGCAAAGAGAAAACACUCGGCAAAUUUGAUGUUUCCCGUAGUGAUGUACUAUUCAAACUUGAACUGGGAUGCAGGCUUCAGUACCAAAGAGAGCUCUGGGCGCGGGUGAGCAGUGAGCUGGCCGGGCAGGGAGCUCCAAAGCGACAGCAACAAAGAGAGAAAUGCUAAGAGUAAGAACGACACACGAGGUCACUUCACAUAGAUAAUAGCAGUACGAACCAUACAAUAUCCUCUCUCAGUUUCACUCCGCCUCACACACGGCUAGCACACCAUGCAUGCCGAUUUCAUAUUAUUAAUAUUAUUUUUUGGAUGGUUGUUGAAACUAUAUAUAUAGUUAGUCCAAUCUCACGUUUCCGAUUAUAAAAAUCAACGUAAAGAGAUCGGUAGGGAGAGCCGGCAUAAUGAAGCCGACGCGUGUAAUAAGCACCAGAGCCGGCAUUUAUACAAACUGGUACGAAUAGUAAAAAACUAGAAUUUAUAAAUAAAAAAAUGAUUUGCACAUCUAUGCAAUAAUUAGGGGUUAGUGGCAGGUCUAGAGAGAUAUCUCAUCAUUAUAUCCGGUUUAACGAGGAUAAAAAAGAGUGUAUUUUCCACUCAUCAUGUUGUCUUUUCGCAGCGGUACCACUUUUCGUGUGUUGUAUCGGUCCCCUAAUACGGAGUCUCCGAGGCCCGAGAAAAUAAGGAAAGUGAUAGUAGCCCAGAAAUCGGCCAAGUUUCUUUCCCCUUUGGCUUUCCUACUAGGAUUCAGAAUCCUCUUUCGCAUGACAAUCUUAAUUAUCUCCCAUACUCCAAAACUCACAAAAACAUCAAGAGUCCGCUGAGAAUAAAUUUAAGUAAAAAACAUGCACACACAGAUAAUAAUAAUAAUCAUGUUUCCAUAAAAUUGCUAAGUCCAGAGAUAAUACAUAAACAUAGUAGACUGUUCAUGACACAUAUCACGGUGGACAGUGUUUGUGUCCUUAUUACAAGCAACGAGAGAUGCUCGUCACCAACACGCGCGCGCACAGAUGCACGACAUACAUAUAGUAGAGACCAACAGAUGGUCGUCCCAUAUGGUGAACAAUUUAUUGGAGAUAAAUAUUAACGUAACUUGGCCAUAGCUUGAAGCAUAGCAACAUAUGCCUAUGAGUGGCAUUCAUGCUAUCGUUUUAGGCUUGUCCAGCUCCUUCCAUCUUAGCAAGCACUUCCAUUUCUACCAUCUUAGCAGCAACUGUCAAAUUGAGAUACGGAAAUCCCAUUAGCGCAUGAGUUAAUUUUGCAGUGGAAAUAGAGUACAAGAUGUCUUCAUGAUGUAAGUAAUAUGCCUGAAGUUGUGAGAUGGGAAGUGAAGUCAACAAAUUACAUUAACGGAAAUGCAUGGAAGGCCACACAUACGUAUUAGUCCAUGAUAUGCUACAAAGCUUGUAUGUACAUAUAGCAAAUUAAAUGCAUUAAUUGAAUAGAGUGUGUUUAGUGAAUUUACCAGAAUCGUCCAGAAAACAUGGGAAACAGCAAGUGUUCUUGCAGACUGCGUCGGAGGCACCCGCACGAAUACAAAGCUGACAACAUAGUUUUGCCUGGGCGGAUGCGCAGCAGCCGCACUCCGCCGCGGUGGGGUUAACAUUGAGGCUCAAGAUGACCAGGCACAUGAUCACCAUCAAAGUGGUAGUCCUCUUUCCCUCCAUUGCCUCCUCUUAGCUUGCUGCUACCUUCCUUGGUUACCUAGCUAAGUUUAUUGGUUUUGUGUUGAGAGGUGUGAUUCUUGAAUGGACGUUGCCGGCGGCAAUUUAUAGGCAGCUGAGCUAUGUGAUGAUAUGGACUAGGUGCAAAUGGGUGGUUAAUGGCAAGGAAAGGGGCGUCAGACAAAGCCCAAUGGCAACUGCUGACAUGCGAUUAAAUUCAGAUCCACAUCCGGCCAUUCAAUAAUACGGUUGGAGUUGUGGCACAGAUAUAUUAUUGCAUGAUCAUCAAGAUAAGAUCGUACAGUGACUGAGUGAGACAAUAAAUAGCCAAGUAAACUAUUUUAUCCUGCUGCAAGCUGCAUUCAUAAGUUUAUUUCACCUUUGAUCACAAUACUCUUCACACACGUACGUCUCAGGGAGAUCUCACUUCCGCUGGACUGCUCACUUCCGCUGUCGUCGGUACUGCCAAAGACAUAAGCUCACAUCUGCUAUUGCGGAGCAGGCCAAUUUGCUGCGGAACUUCGGCGACGACCUGAAGGACAUGAACUCGGUGCUGGAGUCCAUCUCAGCAGCGCUCUAGGACGCUGACACCGGUAGAAAAACGACCUUCCAUCGUCAACAAAAAUCCCGGUAGCUUUUUUACUCGGUACUAAAGAGGUUUUAAUCUCGUGCAAACACCUUUAGUCCAGAUUGCUAUUACCACGCAACCCGGACUAAAGCGUCCCCCGCGAGUUAGUAUAUAAGGAUUGCAUCCUUUACUCAGUCAGAUAUAAUAUGUAGGUGAGAUGGUAAGGAAGCUAUGCGUGAGGCUUCAGGUUGUGGGUUCGAAUCCAAGUGGGUGCAGCUGUGGCUUAAGCGGCUGAGGCACGCCGCCAUAGACAUCUCAGAUUUGCUCGAAGACUACCAAGACACUAGUGAACCCUUAACAGUAAAGGUGAGUACUUAUGAAUGUCAGCAUCCAUGUUGUCCAUGCUUCCAAUGUAAUAACAAGAUGGACUACUCUUCCUAGCGGACUCUUCACAACCACUCGUAAAGCUAUGCGUUUCUCAAUGCAAUUUCGUAGAAGCCAAUCGAUCCAACCAAGUGACUAAAUCAUUCGUCCUUUCCAAUGAUGUGCAUCAGGUUUUCUAUAUGAAGGGCAUGUCUAGCAAACCUAAGAUUUCAGAAGAAAAAGAAAAAUCAUUGGAGCCAAAGAGCCACAUAGUUCUUCUAGGAAAAAAAUCAUGGGAGUCGAGAACAUAUCAAACCAAUCAGGGGAUUAUGGUCAGCUUAAUGGCAUGCCUCCAUUCGAUGUCGAAGUUCACCCAAGCAUCAUGUUAGCCAAACAUCAAAUGUUCGUGCGUUGUUACGGUAAAGAUCAAUUGUGUUUUUUAAACUCUUGGAAUUUUUUUAUCUAAGUUUUUAUUUACACUUAUUGGAUGUCUACACAUUUGCUAGAAAACUAAAAUAAUUUGGACUUAAUUAUUUCUUUCAACUGAAGUACUCACUAAAUUUCUACCUUUUUAUUUAAGCAAGAGAGUUGCUAAAAAAAAUGGAUACGUAACCAUGUUGUAUCAUACAAAGUAACCACGUUUCACAUAUAGUCCGGCUUAGCAAACACCAUUGUUUUCUGAACAUAGCGUACAUGAGUUAACAGACAUGGAUUUAUUUCUAUUGCAAGUAGCAUAGCGUACAACCUGCCUGCACCGAUGCAGCUCAAUAUGCGAUAAUUUUUAUCUUCCCAUGUAAUUUUUCUACUCUAGUACAUAUUGAACUCCACAUUAAUGUCAUGUUCUUUCGCGCCCCAGAAGGUUCCUAAAGUUUGGAAACUUAAUAGAUAGCCAGAAUUUUUUUUAAAGAUAUUUAUAUGGAUACUUGUAUGUUCUUUCCAAACUAACAAUAUUGUUUACCAAUAUCAGAAGGAAUAUGGUUAGGAGCCAUUGCCGCAUAUGGCAGGUGAUGGUAGAUGGCGUAUGGGGUUUCGUUAAUUUAAUGGUAUAAUAAGCUGAAAUACAUUUUCUAUUUGCAAAUGAAUCAUAGCUGAAAUUGGUGGGAUUGUUUUUUCGCCGGUUUAGCAUCCUGUGCACCAGUUCAACCGGAGGGAAGCUGUUUUUUUUCUUUGGUUUUCCACCGGUUCACCGAGACCGAUGACAAUUUUAUGGCAGAAUCAUUACUUGUUUUACUAUUAGGUGAAGAUUUUAGCGUUUAGGUAUCUCACAUUAAACGCAACUUCAACAAUCUAUUUCUAGUGUAUAAUGUAGGAGACCCCGUAAAGAGUCUACACACACAUAUAUGUUGACUAUGAAUGUAAGUUUGUUGGUUUUAUGUAUGUUCGUUUGGAGUUUAUAUAAAUUUUACAUUUUAUAGUUUUGUGUAUAUGACGAAGAUCCAUGACUUGCAUUAAUUUAGCCUUUCUUCCAACAACUCUUAUGCAUGAUGUUUCUAGGCGAGCGUACUGGUUGCAAUUUUGGUCCCCGAUAUAGUGUGAGGACUUAAGGGACACGUGCAGGUCGUAACCUUAGAUAUUUUUGCUGAGAAUGGAUGAAGAAGCAAUAAUAUACUUUGCUUCUGAUUUUCUCCAUGUCAUUUGCUUACUCUUAUCCCUUUUAUUUAUCAUUAUAAGAUGAAAAUAUUGUAAAAACUUGGCUACGUGCGGUCGCAGAAGCUAGAGACUAAAGCGUCCCCCACGAGUUACUAUAUAAAAGGAUUGCAUCCUCUACUCAGUCAUAUGUACUGUGUAGGUGAGAUGGUAAGGAAGCUAUGUGUGAGGCUUGAGGUUGUAGGUUCGAAUCCCACGCACCGCGUGCGCAUGCGCAUAUUUUGCGUGAAAAAUCGCAUGACUUGUGGUCGGCCAAGGAGAAGUGCGUGCGGCUGAGGCACGCCGCCAUAGACAUCUCGGAUUUGCUCCAAGACUACCAAGACACUAGCGAACCCUUAACGGCAAAGUUGAGUACUUACGCGUGUUAGCAUCUAUGUUGUCCAUGCUUCCAAUGCAAUAACAAGAAGGGCUACUCAUCCUAGCGGAUUCUUCACAACCACUCGUAAAGCUAUGCGUUUCUCAAUGCAAUUUCGUAGAUGUCAAUCGAUCCAACCAAGCGACUGAAUCAUUCGUCCUUGCUAAUGAUGUGCAUCAGGUUUUCUAUAUGAAGAACAUGUCUAGCAAAUCCAAGAUUUCAGAAGAAAAAUAAAAAUCAUGAGAACCAAAGCACCACGUAGUUCUUCCAGGUAAAAAAAACAAUCAUCCACUGGGAUGACACACAGUAGCGAUCCAAAACGUCCAUAUUAAGACUUUUUGAUAGCAGAAAAAACAUGAAAAUGUCUAAUAUUUGUAGUAUUAAAAGGAAAAAUAAUAUAUUCACUUGACCUUUUUUUCGUAGCAACGCACCGGUGCGUAGUCAGACUUAGGCCACGUUUGGAUACUCCCUACUAAAGUUUAGCACCUGUCACAUAGGAUGUUUGGAUACUAAUUAGGAGUAUUAAACAUAGGCUAAUUAUAAAACUAAUUGAACAGAUGGAGUCUAAUUUGCGAGACGAAUCUAUUAAGCCUAACUAGUCCAUGAUUUGACAAUGUGGUGCUACAGUAACCAUUUGCUAAUGGUGGAUUAAUUAGGCUUAAUAGAUUCGUCUCGCGAAUUAACAUAGGGUUCUGCAAUUAAUUUUAUAAUUAGCUCAUGUCUAGUCCUUCUAAUUAGCAUCCGAACAUCUGAUAUGAUACUGCUAAAGUUUAUCACCUAGUAUCCAAAUACCCCCUUAAUGCACGAUGCCUGUGCAUCCACUGGGCCUACCCUCGUGGAUCACGCGCUCGUGGAUCACGCGCACCAUGACAUGGCUCAUUAGCUAGUCGUGCUAAUCCUUACCACCAAAUUAAAAACUAGCAUGUGUUGUGUGUUUGUGACCCUAAACGACUACCACCUUCCCGAGUCCACCGGAGUUGCCAGUUCACCACUAAGCUGACUCUCCGAGCUUCAUGUCACUGUCACCGCUCCAAAGACCUAGAUCGGUUCGCUGUGCACCCCGCUUCGUCCUGAGCUAAAUCCCAUCACGAAAGGUGACCGGAUGCUCGUUUUCGAGCGAAUUCUAGCGAGAUUGCCACCACCUUUCCCCUUCCAGCCGAUCGCAGCUGUCUGAUCACAAACCGACAGCCCAGAUCGGAUUUGACCAGGUCAAUACCGGUCAAGCCGAGAUGCAUGCUGCUUUUGCAAGAAGGCCCCUAUUUUUCUCUCUUUUUGCACUUGAGGUCCUACGCAGUUCAAAAGUAAUUAGAUCUAGAUCCUUUUUCUUCUGUUUUAGCCCUGUUCUUUUAUAAAAUCCCACCCGCCAUCCUGUUUGGUAUUUUGACAUGUUAGACCUUCUAUUUAUAUGUUUAAUUAGGUUUUAGCCCUUGGUUUCUUUAAGUUUAGCUCUUGGAAGUUUAGUUUUCUCGCAGUUAAGCCCCUGAACCUUGUUUAGUUCAUAUCUUUAGCGUUUUAAAUCCGUUUUAAGAGAUUCUUACGCCCAUAAGUUCGUGUUGAUGCAUAGAUUAGUUGACUUAUACGGACCUUGCUGAUUCAGCUCCUUCAUUGUGCUUCAGAUCUCGCUAGUGAAGAAUAAUGGAUGGGCUUUGGUUGAGCUUGUAGAUCGACCUGCAGUUGCAGUGAAUGUGCUGAGGACUGGCGGUACCAAUAAUGGGAGGCCGCUGCUCUGCUUGCUACCAAGGCCUGCGACGCUUGGACGCCAUUCAGAGUGCAUAAUUUCCAAGGAUCUCAAGGGCUCCACACCACGUUCCAAGUGUUUUUUCUUUGCCGAGUGUUUUUAGCUCGGCACUUGGCAAAGAGCUUGUUUGCCGAGUGUCCGAAAAAAACACUUGGCAAAGAGAAAACACUCGGCAAAUUUGAUGUUUCCCGUAGUGAUGUACUAUUCAAACUUGAACUGGGAUGCAGGCUUCAGUACCAAAGAGAGCUCUGGGCGCGGGUGAGCAGUGAGCUGGCCGGGCAGGGAGCUCCAAAGCGACAGCAACAAAGAGAGAAAUGCUAAGAGUAAGAACGACACACGAGGUCACUUCACAUAGAUAAUAGCAGUACGAACCAUACAAUAUCCUCUCUCAGUUUCACUCCGCCUCACACACGGCUAGCACACCAUGCAUGCCGAUUUCAUAUUAUUAAUAUUAUUUUUUGGAUGGUUGUUGAAACUAUAUAUAUAGUUAGUCCAAUCUCACGUUUCCGAUUAUAAAAAUCAACGUAAAGAGAUCGGUAGGGAGAGCCGGCAUAAUGAAGCCGACGCGUGUAAUAAGCACCAGAGCCGGCAUUUAUACAAACUGGUACGAAUAGUAAAAAACUAGAAUUUAUAAAUAAAAAAAUGAUUUGCACAUCUAUGCAAUAAUUAGGGGUUAGUGGCAGGUCUAGAGAGAUAUCUCAUCAUUAUAUCCGGUUUAACGAGGAUAAAAAAGAGUGUAUUUUCCACUCAUCAUGUUGUCUUUUCGCAGCGGUACCACUUUUCGUGUGUUGUAUCGGUCCCCUAAUACGGAGUCUCCGAGGCCCGAGAAAAUAAGGAAAGUGAUAGUAGCCCAGAAAUCGGCCAAGUUUCUUUCCCCUUUGGCUUUCCUACUAGGAUUCAGAAUCCUCUUUCGCAUGACAAUCUUAAUUAUCUCCCAUACUCCAAAACUCACAAAAACAUCAAGAGUCCGCUGAGAAUAAAUUUAAGUAAAAAACAUGCACACACAGAUAAUAAUAAUAAUCAUGUUUCCAUAAAAUUGCUAAGUCCAGAGAUAAUACAUAAACAUAGUAGACUGUUCAUGACACAUAUCACGGUGGACAGUGUUUGUGUCCUUAUUACAAGCAACGAGAGAUGCUCGUCACCAACACGCGCGCGCACAGAUGCACGACAUACAUAUAGUAGAGACCAACAGAUGGUCGUCCCAUAUGGUGAACAAUUUAUUGGAGAUAAAUAUUAACGUAACUUGGCCAUAGCUUGAAGCAUAGCAACAUAUGCCUAUGAGUGGCAUUCAUGCUAUCGUUUUAGGCUUGUCCAGCUCCUUCCAUCUUAGCAAGCACUUCCAUUUCUACCAUCUUAGCAGCAACUGUCAAAUUGAGAUACGGAAAUCCCAUUAGCGCAUGAGUUAAUUUUGCAGUGGAAAUAGAGUACAAGAUGUCUUCAUGAUGUAAGUAAUAUGCCUGAAGUUGUGAGAUGGGAAGUGAAGUCAACAAAUUACAUUAACGGAAAUGCAUGGAAGGCCACACAUACGUAUUAGUCCAUGAUAUGCUACAAAGCUUGUAUGUACAUAUAGCAAAUUAAAUGCAUUAAUUGAAUAGAGUGUGUUUAGUGAAUUUACCAGAAUCGUCCAGAAAACAUGGGAAACAGCAAGUGUUCUUGCAGACUGCGUCGGAGGCACCCGCACGAAUACAAAGCUGACAACAUAGUUUUGCCUGGGCGGAUGCGCAGCAGCCGCACUCCGCCGCGGUGGGGUUAACAUUGAGGCUCAAGAUGACCAGGCACAUGAUCACCAUCAAAGUGGUAGUCCUCUUUCCCUCCAUUGCCUCCUCUUAGCUUGCUGCUACCUUCCUUGGUUACCUAGCUAAGUUUAUUGGUUUUGUGUUGAGAGGUGUGAUUCUUGAAUGGACGUUGCCGGCGGCAAUUUAUAGGCAGCUGAGCUAUGUGAUGAUAUGGACUAGGUGCAAAUGGGUGGUUAAUGGCAAGGAAAGGGGCGUCAGACAAAGCCCAAUGGCAACUGCUGACAUGCGAUUAAAUUCAGAUCCACAUCCGGCCAUUCAAUAAUACGGUUGGAGUUGUGGCACAGAUAUAUUAUUGCAUGAUCAUCAAGAUAAGAUCGUACAGUGACUGAGUGAGACAAUAAAUAGCCAAGUAAACUAUUUUAUCCUGCUGCAAGCUGCAUUCAUAAGUUUAUUUCACCUUUGAUCACAAUACUCUUCACACACGUACGUCUCAGGGAGAUCUCACUUCCGCUGGACUGCUCACUUCCGCUGUCGUCGGUACUGCCAAAGACAUAAGCUCACAUCUGCUAUUGCGGAGCAGGCCAAUUUGCUGCGGAACUUCGGCGACGACCUGAAGGACAUGAACUCGGUGCUGGAGUCCAUCUCAGCAGCGCUCUAGGACGCUGACACCGGUAGAAAAACGACCUUCCAUCGUCAACAAAAAUCCCGGUAGCUUUUUUACUCGGUACUAAAGAGGUUUUAAUCUCGUGCAAACACCUUUAGUCCGGAUUGCUGUUACCACGCAACCCGAACUAAAGCGUCCCCCACGAGUUACUAUAUAAGGAUUGCAUCCUUUACUCAGUCAGAUAUAAUGUGUAGGUGAGAUGGUAAGGAAGCUAUACGUGAGGCUUCAGGUUGUGGGUUCGAAUCCAAGGAGAAGUGGGUGCAGCUGUGGCUUAAGCGGCUGAGGCACGCCGCCAUAGACAUCUCAGAUUUGCUCGAAGACUACCAAGACACUAGUGAACCCUUAACAGUAAAGGUGAGUACUUAUGAAUGUCAGCAUCCAUGUUGUCCAUGCUUCCAAUGUAAUAACAAGAUGGACUACUCUUCCUAGCGGACUCUUCACAACCACUCGUAAAGCUAUACGUUUCUCAAUGCAAUUUCGUAGAAGCCAAUCGAUCCAACCAAGUGACUAAAUCAUUCAUCCUUUCCAAUGAUGUGCAUCAGGUUUUCUACAUGAAGGGCAUCUCUAGCAAACCCAAGAUUUCAGAAGAAAAAGAAAAAUCAUUGGAGCCAAAGAGCCACAUAGUUCUUCCAGGAAAAAAAAAUCAUGGGAGUCGAGAACAAAUCAAACCAAUCAGAGGAUUAUGGUCAGCUUAAUGGCAUGCCUCCAUUCGAUGUCGAAGUUCACCCAAGCAUCAUGUUAGCCAAACAUCAAAUGUUCGUGCGUUGUUACGGUAAAGAUCAAUUGUGUUUUUUAAACUCAUGGAAUUUUUUUUCUAAGUUUUUAUUACACUUAUUGGAUGUCUACACAUUUGCUAGAAAACCAAAAUAAUUUGGACUUAAUUAUUUCUUUCAACUGAAGUACUCACUAAAUUUCUACCUUUUUAUUUAAGCAAGAGAGUUGCUAAAAAAAAUGGAUACAUAACCAUGUUGUAUCGUACAAAGCAACCACAUUUCACAUAUAGUCCGGCUUACCAAACACCAUUUUUUACUGAACAUAGCGUACAUGAGUUAAGAGACAUGGAUUUAUUUCUAUUGCAAGUAGCAUAGCGUACAACCUGCCUGCACCGAUGCAGCUCAAUAUGCGAUAAUUUUUAUCUUCCCAUGUAAUUUUUCUACUCUAGUACAUAUUGAACUCCACAUUAAUGUCAUGUUCUUUGGCGCCCCAGACGGUUCCUAAAGUUUGGAAACAAAAUAGAUAGCCAGAAAUUUUUUUAAAAAAUAUUUAUAUGGAUAUUUGUAUGUUCUUUGCAAACUAACAAUAUUGUUUACCAAUAUCAAAAGGAAUAUGGCUAGGAGCCAUUGCCGCAUAUGGCAGGUGAUGGUAGAUGGCGUAUGGGAUUUCGUUAAUUUAAUGGUAUAAUAAGCUGAAAUACAUUUUCUAUUUGCAAAUGAAUCAUAGCUGAAAGUGGUGAGAUUGUUUUUUCGCCGGUUUAGCAUCCUGUGCACCGGUUCAACUGGAGGGAAGCGGUUCACCGAGACGGAUGACAAUUUUACGGCAGAAUCAUUACUUGUUUUAUUAUUAGGUGAAGAUUUUAGCUUUUAGGUAUCUCACAUUAACAAUCUGUUUCUAGUGUAUAAUGUAGGAGACCCGUAAAGAGUCUACACACACAUAUAUAUGUUGACUAUGAAUGUAAGUUUGUUGGUUUUAUGUAUGUUCAUUUGGAGUUUAUAUAAAUUUUACAUUUUAUAGUUUUGUGUAUAUGACGAAGAUCCAUGACUUGCAUUAAUUUAACCUUUCUUCCAACAACUCUUAUGCAUGCUGUUUCUAGGGGAGCGCACUGGUUGCAAUUUUGGUCCCCGAUAUAGCAUGAGGACUUAAGGGAGACGGGCACGUCGUAACCUUAGAUAUUUUUGCAAGAAGCAAAUUAUACUUUGCUUUUGAUUUUCUCCAUGCCAUUUGCUGACUCUUAUCCCUUUUAUUUAUCAUUAUAAGAUGAAAAUAUUGUAAAAACUUGGUUACGUGCGGUCGCAGAAGCUAGAGACUAUUUCUUUUUUUAAAAAUACGCAAGAGGGAGAAACUUGGUAACAGCUAGACAGUGAAGAUCGCAUUUCAUAAGAAAGAUGGUGCACGUUCUUGUUUGGCUGUUAACGAAAUGACUUCGUUUCACCACACCACCAGAGAGCCCCAUUGCACUUGCAGCAAAAGCGUGGAGCCGCUUUCAACCAGCGUGCAAUAAUGCAGUCCCGCGUGUCUUGGUCUUACAGGAUAUUUGGUUCUUUAGUCCGGACUAAAAUUCAUGUCGCAUAGAAUAUUCAGAUGUUAAAUAGGAGGACUAAACAUGAGCUAAUUAUAAAAAUAAUUACACAAAUGGAGGCUAAUUCCCAAGACAAAUCUAUUAAGUCUAAUUAAUCCAUCAUUAGCACAUGUUUACCGUAGCACCGUAUUGUCAAAUCAUGGACUAAUUAGGCUUAAUAAAUUCGUCUCGCAAGUUAGUCUCCAUCUAUACAAUUUGUUUUAUAAUUAGUCAAUGUUUAAUACUCUAUCUAAACAUUCAAUGUGACUGAAAUUUUAGGAGGUCCUAAAGAACCAAACACCCCUUAGUCUCCGCCUGAACUAUAGCAGGUGCUGGCAGCGGUAGCAGGGUCGUCCAUUAUAUCUAUGGAUGGAAAUGAUCUGAUUCGGAUGGAAUCGAAUUCGAAUAGCACUUUUUACCACAUACUAAUCUGAAUUGGAUGUUCUCGAAUGUGAAUGCAAAACGGAUAGUUCAAAUUUGAAUACUUUGCGGAUUUUUGCAUAAUAUUAAUCGAAGAGAAUUUGUUAAAUUUAGCCGAGACAUAAAUUUUUCUAAAUUCAAAUACUUUGCAGAUUUUCGAAUGCAAAUUUUUUCAUACGAUCUCGGUUGAAUACAAACUUUAUAUCAAAGUUGUAUAUUUAGAUUAUAUAUAAAACUUUGUAGUUGACCUCCUUUUCAUUUAAAAUUUUUUAAUAGCUCAAAACAUUAUUCUAAGCUUUCUAAUUUCAAAAUCUUGAAUUUUAAAUUUUUCAAACGACCUCGGAUGCAAACAAGCUCUAUAUCAAAGUGCUUAAUGAGAUAUAAAAUUUUGUAGUUGACAAGUUUUUUAGUUGAAAACAUUUAGUUAUCACAAACAUACAAGUUCUUCAUUUGAUGUCGAGGAUUGGAAGUGUUGAGUUUGAAGAAUAUAUUCUUUGAUUACAAACUUUUCCAUAUGAUCUUGGAUGAAUACGAACUUUAUUUCAAAGUUGCAAAUUUAGAUUAGACCAAAAACAGUAUAGUUUACAAUUUUUUCAUUCAAAAUUAUUUAGUAGCUCAAAAUGUUAUUCUAAACUCUCUAAUUUUGAAAUCUUGAAUUUUAAAAUUUUCAAAUGACCUCGGAUGCAAACAAGCUCUAUAUCGAAGUGGUAGUUCUUAAUGAGAUAUAAAAUUUUGUAGUUCCAUCUGAGAUCAUUUAACAGUCACAAAUAUACAAGUUUUUCAUAUGAUGCUAAGGAUCAGAAAGAUUAAGUUUGAAGGCUGUAUUUUUUUAAUACAAAUUUUUGCAUACGAUCUCGGAUGAAUACAAACUUUAUAUCAAAAUUGUAGAGCUCGAUGAGAAUUUAAACUUUGUAGUUGAUAUAUUUUUCAUUCGAGAAUGUUUAGUGGUCCAAACAUGUAUUAUAAGUUCAGAGAAGAAACACACAAUCGGCCACGUCAUCAAUUGACAACUUCCAAACUGAGCAUUCCUAUUGGUUCACACCUUUCCCUUUCAACUCGUCAAGCUUAUCUCCUCCCACUCCUCCAUCGUUCACUCCCCCUUCCCCUUCCUCUCUCCCUCCCUCCCUCCGCUCCAGCAGUGGCAGCCCGACCUGCCUCCUAGGACGGUGGUGUGCGGGGCUCGGGCAUCCCUGGCCUCUAGUGGCGUGGCAGGGCGGCCUCCAGCAGCGAUGGCGGAACUCGGCCUCCGGUGGCGCACAGGCAGCGCAGCCUACCUGGUCAAAGGCGGCGCAACAGGGCGACCUCCCCAGCCUCCGGCGGCGCGCAGGGCAUCCAUGACCUCCCCGGCCUCCCUUGCCAGAGGUGGUGCGCGGGGCUGCGCCGACCUCCCCAACCAGAGGUGGCAAGGCCCCAGCUUACGGCGGCGCGUGGCUCCCCAGCUAGGGUGUGGUGGGGCGGCGGCAAGUCAGGCGUGGCCGCGUGGGGGUGGGGGGAGGGGGUUGGGCUGGGCGGAUUCAGAUAGUAUCCAUUUAACCAUCCGAAAUGUGGAUAUCCGUUUAACAAUCCGUUUAGCAAAACCGAAUUUGGAUACUUCCACUUAAGUAUCCAACUAGGAUUCGAAUGCGGAUGGUCCUACCAUAUUGUUAUUUCAGCGGAUACGAAUAUGGGAUAAUUCGAAUAACGACUUACCCAUCCCUGAUUAUAUCCGUGUAAAUAAAUAAUUGCGGCAGCAGGUUCCCGUCGCCACGCCCCCGUCAAACCAAACAAUUGCUUGCGCGACACCGUGUUACUAGAUCUUGUACAGUACUCCCUCCGUUGCAGUACUCCCUAAUGAAAGUUGAGAAUCGAUCGACAACCACGGCUAGUUGCUAUGCACUCGAUCAGAUGGUCCAGGCGCCCGCUGGUAAUCAGGUCGUGGUUCACGCGCAUCAGGCCAGCUAUGACGUUGCCAGCAGUGCUCAGUACACAAAUCUAGCUAUCAGUCGGAUCCAAUUGGGCAGGCAUUUGCACUGUGGUUGUGUUUGAACCUGUAGAUGUCGUUGUCAUUAUCAGGCACCAUACAUCCUCUCUCAGAGGGUGUUUCACCCCCUAAACUUUAGCCCCUCUCACAUCGAAUGUUUUAGAUACUAAUUAGGAAUAUUAAACAUAGAAAAUUUACUAAACCCAUUACAUGGAUGGAGGGUAAACGGCGAGACAAAUCUAUUAAAUCUAAUUAGUCCAUGAUUUGACAAUGUGCUGCUAUAGUAACUAUUUGCUAAUGAUGGAUUAAUUAGACUUAAUAGAUUUUUCUUGCUGUUUAGCCUCCGUCUGUGCAAUUAGUUUUAUAAUUAAUUCAUAUUUAGUCCUCCUAAUUAGUCUCCGAAUAUUUGAUGUGACACGGACUAAACUUUAGAUAGCACACCAGGGACCGACACCAUGCAUGCUGAUUUCAUAUCAUAAUUAAGGAAAGUGAUAUCAUAAUUAAGGAAAGUGGUAGCAUCCAAGAAAUCGAUCAUGUUUCUUCCCCCUUUGGCUUUCCUACUAGGAUUUGGAUAGCGGGCCUUCCUACUAGGAUUUGGAAUCCGCUAUCGCAUGACUAUCUUAAUUAUGUCCCAUAGUCCAAAACUCACAAAACAUCAAAAAUCCAUCGAGAAUAAAUUAAGUAAAAAACAUGCGCACACAGAUAAUAAUAAUAAUAAUCAUGUUUCAAUAAAAUUGCUAAGAUUAGAGAUAGUACAUAAACAUAUUAGAUUGUUCGUGACACAUAUCAUGGUGGAUAGUGUCUGUGUCCUUAUUACAAGCAGCGAUAGAUGCUUGUCACCACACACACGCACGCACAGAUGCACGACAUACAUAUAGUUGAGACCAACGGAUGGACGUCCCAUAGGGUGAAUAAUUUAUUGGAGAUAAAUAUUAACAUAACUUGGCCAUAGCUUGAAGCAUAGCAACAUAUGCUUAUGAAUGGCAUUCAUGCGGGUAGCAAUGCUAUCAUAUGCUUUUAGGCUUGUCCUUAGCUUCUUCCAUCUUAUAGCAAACACUGCCAUUUCUUCCAUCUUAGCAGCAACUGUCAAAUUAAUUGAGAUAUGGAAAUCCCAUUAGCGCAUGAGUUAAUUUUGCAGUGGAAAUAGAGUAGAAGAUGUCUUCAUAAUGUAAGUAAUAUGACUCUGACAUAGGGAGUGAAGUCAACAAAUUACAUUAACGGAAAUGCAUGGAAGGCCACGCAUAUGUAUUAGUCCGAUAUGCUACAAAGCUUGUAUGUACAUAUAAUAAAUUAAAUGCAUUGAAUAGAGUGAUUUUAGUGAAUUUACCUAAAUCGGAUUAAAAAACAUGGGAAACAACAAGUGUUCUUGUAGGGCUUUGUUUAGUUCCCAAAUUGGGAGUAGCAAAGUUUGCAUUUUACCAUAAAUGCGCAACUAUAGCAUGUAGCAUUUUGUUUGUAUUUGUGAAUUAUUAUCCAAACAUUGACUAAUUAGGCUCAAAAGAUUCAUCUCGCAAAGUACAACAAAACUGUGCAAUUAGUUUUUGAUUUCGUCUACAUUUAGUACUCCGUGCAUGUACCGCAAGUUUGAUGUGAUGGGGAAUCUUGCUUUUCAAUAGUGACAAAGUUGGGAUUUCGGGGGGAAGGCCUGUGUCGGAGCCACAUGCAAGAAUGGCUGACAUUGAGGCUCAGACAAAGCCCAAUGGCAACUGCUGACAUGCGAUUAAAUUUAGAUAUCCACAUCCAGCCAUUCACAUUUAUGAGAUAUGGACACGGUGCAAAUGGGUGGGGUCCUGAUAUGGAGGUGCGAAUGGCUGUCUACUUGUAUAGUGUAGCUCCAAUGUACGUAUAUGUAUCUUAUGCAUGUAUACAGUUGCACAAACUCUGAACCAACUCUUCAUAACAGGUCUUUGUUACCAAGUAACUUUACUUUUGCACGUUUCAGCCGAGAGGUAGAAGAGAAUAUUUUUGCAUUUUCCAUGUGCGUCAGUGGUAGAGAACUAGGAAUUAGUUCCGGAUGGUAGGGCACAAAUCUUCCAAACAACUAUCCGAAAUUAAGCAAUCGAGAUAAAGGGUGCCAUCUAUUCUCUCCGAAAAACACAGGUACCAAAAAGAAGAAGAGAAGAGGGAGGGCCUCCCGUUAAGGCCCGCUCGGGGUCUCCAUCCCACCACGCGCCCUCCCAACCCAAAGCCCAUCGUUUUCCCUCCGUCCCUCCCCUCUCCAUUGCCGCCGCCGCUCCCCUCAUCCGAGCUCGAUACGGGUGGUCGGCGGCCCCUCCUCUCCGCUCCCGCCCCCGGCCUCCCUUUGACCGCCGGGCGCCGGCAUCACUGCCGCGGCCAACCCCAGGGCGCAGCGCGUGCCUCUAUUUCUCUCCCCCGUUCAAGGGCCCUUUGAUGGCGACGAGCACCCACCCACCAGGUAUGCCCUCCCCUUCUCUUCCUAACCCUAAUAUAUUCGGAUCUCACCCAGUCACAAUAUAUUACCUAAUAGCUUCGAUUUUGUUUGCAAAAAUCAUCACGUGCGCACCCAUGUCCGCUAGAUUCUUGCGCCUGAUCCUGUGCUGCUAUGGUUUGGGCGGGGUAGACUAGUUGAUUCGUGCACUUUUGGGUGCUUGUAGUGCUAGGUUUUGGAGGGGGAUAGCCCAGUUGAUUCCUCCGUUUUGGGUGCUCAUGGUGAUAGGAUUUGGAUGGGGAUAGCCCCAAUGAUUCGUGCGCCUUUGGGUGCUGGGGAUAGUUUUGGGUGCCUGGAUAGUCCAGUUUCAAUGUCAGUAUAUGCGUAUUUUGGGGAGAAUUUUGUUUUGGGUGGUUCUGGUGCUAGAGUUUCUGAUGCUUAGUAGCCCAGUUUCAAUCAAAUUCCCCCAUGGGUCGUGCACUACGGGAAACAAGAAAAUUGCCGAGUGUAUUUUUUUUGUCGAGUGUUUUUUUUCGAGCACUCAGCAAACAAGCUCUUCGCCGAGUGCCAAGUCAAAAACACUCGGCAAAAAAAAACACUCGGCAAAUCGGGGCUUUGCCGAGUGUCAAAUAAAAAACACUCGGCAAAGAAGGGGGUUUGCCGAGUGUUAAAAAAAACACUCGGCAAACAGGAGGGUUUGCCUAGUGUUUUUUUGACACUCGGCAAAAAAAUAAUUGUUUUUCCUCUUUUCACCUUGAAAUUUUUUCUACUCCCCACAUACAACACGUGGUACUCCAUGUUAAAAUUUGGUAUAUUUUUGGAUUUAUUUGCUAUAUUUAUUUAAUUAAUUGCAUUACAAGGAAAUUUUUGGUAUAAGUCAAAUUUGAACUGCAAGUGAUUCAAAUUGUGGAACAAAAUGAGUAGAAAAAUGAUAUUCAUGUUAUUUGGCUCAAUUUGAGACCUGACCCAUGAAAUGAAAAGAAAUUUCGAACAUCUUGUUCAGGAAACACGACAAUGAACAUGUGGCGGUAGUAUUUUUAAAUUGUAAAAAAAACAAGCAAAGUCUGAAAAUCAUGAGAUUUGUAGUUAUGUGAUGAUAUAAUACGUGGAAGCUGUGGAAAAAAAUUGGAAAGGUUUUGCACAUUUCAUCAUGUACGAUGAUUACAAACCGAAGCAUAUCAGAAGAAGAAUAGUAACUUUGAGAAGGAUUCGAUAAAAUUUAGAGUCGAAGUGACGGUCGAGUUCGGUUUGACUACAAAACUUUUUGUAUAGUCAGUAGAGAACAUAUCUUAUUUCGUGUGAAAAUUUGGUAUUUUUUGAAACUGUUGGAUAUUUUUAAUUUUUUUUUAAAAAAACUUUGCCGAGUGUCCUAGGGUAGACACUCGGCAAAGAAAAACUUUACCGAGUGCCCGCCUAGGACACUCAGCGAACCUUUUUUUAAACCUACCGGCUCCGGCCGGCCCAGCCCACAAACACCACCCGCCCCCCGCCCCCGCGCCUUCUUCCUCACGCCGCCCCCGCCCCCCACCCGUGCCUCCGGACCGCCCCCUCCUCCCCCUGGCCUCCCCUCACGCCGCCCCCCUCCUCCCCUAGCUCCCUCCACCGGCGGCCCUCCCUCCCCCGGCGCACAUCCUCCACUCCUCCUCCCCUUCCCUUCCCUCCCCUCCCCUCCCCUCUUCCUCCCCUGGCCGGAUCUGGCGCCCCUAGCUCCCCUUUCUUCCGCGGCCAGAUCUGGCGCCCUCCCGGCGGCGGGUCGUGGCGAUCGGGGCGGCGGCGGCGGAUCAGGCCGCGGGGCGGCGGCGGCGGCGGGUCGUGGCUACCGGGGCGGCGCCCUGCCCCUCCCCUCCCUCUCCAUCUCCGGCUGCCGUCCACCCCCUCCCCGGAUCCGCCCCCCUCCCCUCCGCGCGGCCAGCCCCUCCUCCCUCUCCGGCCGCCGCCCCGGCCCCUCCUCUCCCUUUCUCCGGCCACCGCCCCGCCCAUCUUCUCUGGAUCCGGCCGGAUCCGGCCGCCGCACAGCCCCUCCUCCCCGGAUCCGGUGGGCGCGGACUUCGUGGUGGUGGCGCCGGAUCCCUCCCCUCCCUCUCCAGAUAACUCCCUCCACUCCUCCGCUCUUCCCCUCUCUCGCGCGGCGGCCUCUCUCCGGCCGCCGCCCCGCCCCUCUCCCCGGAUCCGGGGGGGGGGGGACUCCGCCCCUCUGCCCCGGAUCCAGCUCCCCGACCCGCGAGUGGGGCGAGCUUGCUCAUGCGGUCGACGUCGAGGCCAGGGUGUGGUGGAGGUGGUGGCCGGCGGGUGUGGUGGUGGUGGCGGCGGCGGGCAUGGCGGCGCGGAGGCAAGGCACGGCGGCCGGUGGGAGGCACGGGUGCAAGGCGUCGACGGCAGGAGGCAAGGCACGGCAGCAUGGGAGGUGGUGCUGUGGUGGUGGUGCUGGCGGUGGUGGCGGCGGCGGAGCAGGAUGUGGUGGUGGCGGAGGAUGUUUUUUUUUCAAAAAUUUGUUGCCGAGUGUUUUCUCGGCACUCGGCAAAGACUUUACCGAGUGCCCGACACAAAACACUCGGCAACUCAGUGUUUGCCGACUGAAAAAUUGCCGUGUGCCGUUUGCCGAGUGUUACACUCGGCAAACGGUUCGCCGAGGGUUUUUUGCCCUUCGCCGAGUGCCCCUAGCACUCGGCAAUUUCACUAUCUCCCGUAGUGGUGGCUGGACUUAUGGGGGGAUCAUUGAUGGGGGACUAGUUGGAUACUUUUUGGCUGUUUUGGGAGUCCUUGGCAGCGGCUUCUCAGGGCGUACGUAGCCCAUUGUAGAUUCCAGCCGAGAAGAUUAAGGAAUUGUGACUGCAACCAUGUUACUUUUCUAGGACUCUGUUUCUGAUAUUGUUCCCGCUGCAUCUUUUCAUCCCCAUGGUGAAUGUUGCUGUUGAUCUGUAGAUUGGAUUUGUUCCUCGGUAGCUUUAUUAGAUUUGUGCUGAAUGAUAAUCUCUGCCUGUGAUAUUUUUCUUCAUUGCGGAUGUGUGCCGAGUAUUAUCCCCUUUGUUCAUUCUGUUGGCUUUUUUUAUUGUCUCUGUACUCGGCUGUUCAGCUUGUGCAGCUAAUGAUCUAAUGUAUUUUGUCGUAACUAUGUAUUUUUCGGAUGUGUGCCGAGUAUUAUCCCCUUUGUUUAUUCUGUUGGCUUGCUUUCAUUGAUCUUAAGAUAACUGGUGCUAUAAAUUCACACUAGCUGAUGCACUUGCAAAUAGCUAUGUAAAUAUGAAAAGAAGUAUUUUUUUAUCCUUUUGUUUGUUUGGCAUCAUAUCUGUUUAAAUGGCAUAGCAAUAAGAAUUUUUUGUUUUUGGGGAAUCAUAUCUGCUUAAAUGGUAUAGAAAAUGCUGAGUGCACUGUCAAAUAGAUUUUCCAGCAGUCUGCUUUCAGUUGUUUUUGCAAAUCCUCACAGGCCAGUGAACUGACUUUGUUUUUACCACCCCAUGCCAUUUAAAUGACUAAAUCAGUCAGCCUAAUACUAUAUAUGGUCAUGCUAUGAUCUUAUUUCUUGAAGCUCUAUAGGUCAACCCAUAAGGGUAACUUAGUUUUUCCUAUUCUGGCUGGGGAAGUGGAUACGAUGGCUAUCCUUGGUAGAGUUAAAUACAUUGGCGGCUCUUAGCGCGCCAAUGUGGCACCACAAUAUCGAACAUAUGUAGAAACCCCCUUGUUUUUUCUCAUAUCCCUCUCUCUCAGCGUCCUCUUCUCUUCUUCUCCUCUGUCUCCUCCCCUCCCAUCGCGUGCUUUAUUGCGCCGCCGCCAUCCGCCUCCAUGUAUGAACACGUCGUUUGUCAUGAAGAAGCAGUUGAUGAGGCAAUCAAGCAUGUGGUGCACAAGGUUCUUCUGCUGGCCAAGUCCGAGUCGAACAGCCGCGCAUUCAUUGGGGAAGCACGCGCCAGGCAUCACCAGGCUCCUCGUGCCCCUACUCUGCUCCAAGGACUCGGUGCUUCGACGCGCUGCUUUCCCUGUCCGGCGAGCGGGGAUCGUUGGGAGAUGAUCGAUGGAGGAUGGAGCUGAUCCUCCUGUACACGGUGCCGGUGGGGAGCAGGGAGCUGCGGAGCAGGUCCACGGGCGGCGCCAUUACAGCAGGUGCAGGCUAAGGGUAAUGAGCAGAUCGAGGCGAUGGAGGAGGACCCGCACGAGGUGCAGCUUCUUCGCCUCCUGCGCAAAGUCAGCGCCCAAGCAGCCGCUGAGGGACAGGCCGAGGCUUAGCUCGAUCUCAUCCGACUAAAUGGUGGCUGCACUCCCACAGUCCCACUGGUGCUCCUCCCUUCUGUCCGAACCUGCCGAGGAAAUCCCUCGAUGCCAUGGGUCCCGGCUGGACGACUACUCCUCCCACAGAUUGACUGAGGAAGAAGAGCUUCUCAGUGUCCAAAAAUUCAGUUACACUGGAAACAGCAACCAAUUACGUUCUUCCGGCUCAGCCAAGCCCCAAUCUCCUUGCUUCUGUGCGCCCCUGCUAAAUAUUCCAGAAACCAAUCUGGUUAGUUGUUUUUUCACAUUUUCAGUGCAUGCCGGUGCUGCUGUGUGCGGCAUGCAUGGAGUUGUCGUGGGAGUGCACGGUGGCUUAGCUGGUGCGCCAGUGCGCGGGCACGAACACAACGGUGAAGAUGGCAGGGCCAUCUCAAAGCUCCUGAGCACCUGCACGCGUCGCUGAGCAGGACAUGCUGCGACGGUGGGCGAGCGCUGCUAACGCCCUGGGGAAGAGCAGUGGGUGCAGAGAGAGGGAGCGAGGGAGAGGGGUUCUUGUAUAUGUUUGCUAGCGUGGCACCGUUUACGGUGCCCGCCUAAGUGGCAUUCACGUGUCAUUCAUCCCAAAUGGUGUUGCAAGGUUGAACCUAUUGUGGGAGGCUUUUGGUUUCCCUUGACAGUAUCACCAGUGAUAUCACUGCGUUCUGGUUAUGUAUGAAACACUUGUCCUUUUAAAACCUUUCUGAAUUUAGAAACGAAUUUGAAACAUUACCCUCAUUUCCAUGUUUUUCUAUCUUUUGUCCCUGUAAAAUCAAACUAAAUUUGAAUUAUUAUGUUCAGAACUACAAGCUGAUUUACUUGUCCCAUUUGCUAAUAACAGGGCCUUGUGAUUUCUAAUGAACAUUGCAGAGCAUGUUAUAAAGCGUAUGCAUGAACACCAAGGGGAUGAAACCAUUGGUAUAUUUCUCACAACCUUUUGAACUUAUCAUUUAGCAUAUUUGUGUUCUAGUGUGACGUUUCAGCCACGAGACAUGAGAAAUGUUAGCUAUGGAUUUUGGUUAUUCAUCAUGGGUUCACAGAUUUGUUUUUCUCUAAAAGAAUUGGGAAGUAGCUUUCUUUCUGGGUAUAUGUGGGGAAAUGCAUAUGCAAUCUUUUAUUUAUUGAGGUGACUGUAAAAUUCUUGUCUGACUGAAUAUGCGAUUUCAACCUACAUGCUAUACUUAGGGAAAUUUGUGAAUCUCCUAAUGUCUGCUGCAUGGCAUGAAUGCAUAUUUUACUGGUCCAUAAUGUGAAGUUCUGUAUAUAAACUUCUCGUGUUGACCCUUUAGAACAUGCUAACUGGAGAGUUUUCUAGAGUAGUUAAACAAGAGAUUUAGUUAAAUCUGCACACAUAGGUGGGGCCUGGCAUACCCUAAGAAUCGGCCUAGCCGGUCAGCCCAUUAGUAAAAAAAAAAGCACCGCAGUCAGCAGUCCCCACGUUGGUCUUCCUCGAGUCGCGACUCGCGAAGCUCCCAUCCUCCGAGUCCAAGAUGGUGGACUGUGUCGAGCGCGGGGCGGGCGAUUAGUUGCCCGGCCGCCGGCGGGGGAUGGCCGGACGGCCAGAUCGCCGACUCCUCUAGUCCUCCCUCCAGCCUCUGCGCUUCUUUCACAGUGGAGCUAGCGGCGAGGCGCCCGACCGACACCCUUCUUCCCAAAUCCCGGCAGCCCUACCUCGAUUUGGCCUCCUCCGAUCAUUUGAUAAUCAAUUUGAUGAAAUUAAUAUGGAGUUGCUUUCUUGUAUGGUUGCCUUCAAUCCUGCUAAUUCAUUUGCUUCAUUUGAUGCACAAAAGAUACAUAGACUUGCUAUAUUUUUAUCCACAAGACAUCACAAGCACGGAUUUGCUAAAACUUGAAUUCCAGCUCGAUAUUAUAUUGAUGAUGUGAGAUAGGAUGAUAGUUUCAAAGGCCUACAAGAUCUUGUUAACUGAGACUCAGUUAAGCUUGUUGAAACAAACAGGCAUAAUAUUUAUGACUUGGUUUACUUGCUUCUCAAAUUGGUAUUGGUUCUUCUUGUGGCGACAGCUAGUGUUGAAAGGGAUUUUUGUGCAAUGACUUUGAUCAAGAGUAAGCUAAGAAAUAAGAUGGGUGAUAGUCUUUUGGAUGAUUGUCUUAUCACAUUCAUUGAGAAAGAUAUUUUCUUUGAAGUGGAUGAAGAAGAUAUAAUUAAGACUUCAUAUCCAUUAGAAAUCGUAGGCUGGAGAAGAAGUAAUAUUUUAAUUUUCUUUGAACGUUAGGUCUGUAAGCUUCUUUUAAACUAUCUACAUUAUAAUUUAUGGACCUUUUAAUUUAACCGUUGAAUUCAUGAUAUUAUGAGAUUUUUUUAUCUAUGUUAUUAUUGUUUACCGAUUUAUUACCAAAUUAUUAGUUUGAUCUUACAAUAUUGUAUUUUGGAUGAUUGGCUCGGCAUACUCUAAGUUUAAAUCCUAGCUCCGCCACUGUUUGCACAUUAAUGUGGCUUAUAUGUGUGGAGUCACUUAACCUAUGCACUUGGACCUCCACUCCCUUAGGUUUUAUGAACCUAAUUUGACAGCCUGCUCGUCUUUUAUUUUCUACCAAUCAGCUAGGAACGAACAUGGUGAUGUUUGCAUCUCUGCCAUCAAUGGCUUACAUGUCAUUAUGUAUCACAUUAGCAAGUCUUGUUUUGUUAUUGGCUGGGAUGACGGGGACUCUAGCUGGAAUUGAAUCAAAGUGGUAGAUCACAGGGUAUUCAUUGCCAUGUAUUUCUGCAGUUGCAUGGACUUGCAUCAAACGGACCUUCCUACUUAUGUGAUUGUCCUAUAUGAUCUCCUUUGAUUUCAUUUGCACACUGUAAUCACAUUAGCUAGAACACUCGCUUUUUGCUUCAAAUUUGAAAUUCAUAUCAUGAUGGACUAGAACGCUGAAUUUCUUGAUUGCUGAGUUACUAAUCACAUUGUGGCGCUGCCAAAGAAGCUGGACUCUUCAUUGUUGUUGCCUUGUGGGCUGCCGUGUGCAAAGAACAAGAGCGCACGGUAUUAUAAUAGCAGAGCAGAACACAGACAAGCGACAAGGAGCGGAGCAGAGCAGAGCACAGCCAGGCACAAGCAGUAGAGUAGAGCAGAGCAACCGGGAGAGGAGAGGGCACAUAUGCAGAGUAGAGCAGAGCCAAGCGCAAGCAUUCAUGCACUCAAGCAUGCAGCAGAGGUGUAGCAAGGCAAGCACAAGCAGCAGAGCAGAGGGAAGGGAAGGCUGGGAGAUGAAUAGGCGAAUAGUUACCUGGACAGAGCAGAGGGAAUGGAGAUGAUGCAGAUGCUUCCGGAGACUCGAGAUUUGGAGAGGAACAAGGCCACGUUGUGAACAAGGUCUCCUUUCUCUUCUCUAUUUCCCGCGCAAGUACUUGUGCAUAGUGGCUGCCUCAUCCUCCAGGACGUCCACUUCAACCUGAGGCGGGUGCCACAGACAUCCUGGCUAUGCGACGGCUACCCCCAGCACACCCCCGGCGCCUAUGAACCAUGAUCCUAAUACUAUAAAUUGUCAACCUUGUAAUCUUAUUUCAAGCAUGCUCUCUAUGUCAACCUGUAAGGUUAACUUCGUUUUUCCUUUUCUGGGUAGGGGAGUGGAUAUUGCUGUUAUUUAUAUUAUGUUGAUAUUGGUUUCCACAUGUCAUUCACCCCAAAUGUGUUGCAAGGUUGAACCUAUCAUCGGAGGAAUUUUUUUCCCUUUACCUUUAUAUCACUACGCUCUGGUUAUGUAUGAAACACUUGUCUUCUUAAAAACCUUAAUUUAGAAACAAAUUUGAAACACUAUCUUCAUUUACAUCCUGUAUGUGUUUUCUACCUUUUGUCCUAUAUGAUCUGCUUUGAUUUGAUUUGUGCAUAGUUUUUUCAAUUCAGACCUGGUGAUUUCUGAGGUUCAUGUUGUGCUGAUAAGCAGCCUACUAUUCAGUAACACUUUCAUGUGGCAUGUUCAUGUUAGCUAGCUAGAAACACUGCUUUUAGCUUCAAAAUUCAAAUUCAUGACAUGAUGGACAUUGACAAUGAAUUUCUUGAUUGCCGAGCUAUGUACACUGUAAUUCAGACCUGGUGCUUUUAGUUUUUUUCUUGAUUGCCGAGCUAGAAACACUGUGCUUUUAGUUUUUUCAAUUCAGACCUGGUGAUUUCGGUUUUUUCAAUUCAGACCUGGUGAUUUCUGAGGUUCACGUGUCACACCGAUUUUAAGAACAAAAUCGAGUGCAUUAAAUAUACAUGUACGCUAGGAUCAGGUUACACACAUGUACGACAUAAGCGAAUAUCAAAGACAAUGCCAUAACGAAAUAAAGAGAGUAUUAAUCAUUAUUACAUGACCGAAAGUCUCAAAUAAACCACAAAAUCUAUUUAUUACAUAGCGGAACUUCUAAGAUAGCAACGUCUCCACAGGCAGCUGACUGAAGAACUGUAUGCCUAGAACUCUUCAAAAUCGUGCAGGUACUCCUCCAGAUUAGCUUGGUAUGAACAACGGUUUUGCAAGGGUGAGUACACUUAUGGUUGGUACUUAAUAAGUCGUGGGAAACAAUGUAGUGUAAGGCAAAUCAAGGUAUGGCUAAGGCUUAAACAGCAUCAGCUUUUAAUUUAGUUGGUCAAAUUUUAUUAGCAAUUAAUUAGACGUAAAUUUAUACCACCCGAAAUUAAACAAGAACAUGAAUAAAAUAAUAACAUAACCAUAAAUGAAAUGACAACAAUUUAAAUCCAUCUUUUCAUAGCAUUAUCAUGUGAGGGUCCAGUCCGUUCUUAACCGUGAGCACCGCUGAUCGAUCAGUUUUACACUCUGCAGAGGUUGUACAUCUUUACCCACAAGUCGCGUAAAAGUUCAAAAGAAUUUUGGACCCAACCAUGCGGUAUUUGCAAGGCACCAUACCACACUUCCAAGGUGUGAUUGCAUAUGAACGCUACGAGGCCUUUACAAAGAUUCAUUAGUAAGUGGUAACCCGCUAAGGUUUCGGUAUUUGGCGUGCACAACCUAUCACAGGCCGCUAAUGCAACGACUCAGUCCCCCCUCUUGCCUCAUCACGAGUAAGAUUACCCCAGACUAAGGUUUCUAAUUAUUCAGCCAAGAUCAGAACCAUUUAGUCUUGUGGUAGCACUGUUUUCCUGGGUGGUUCUCCAUGUUCCGAUUAAACAUAAUGGUCUUGUAUUAAUGGAAGGUAUAACAUAAAUAAUACCAAAUUAAUAAUAAUUCAGAUUAAAUCACCAUAACCAUAUUUGAGCACUAAGCAUGAGCUACCCAACAUAAAUUUAACCCGGUUGGUCAAGGCAAGGUAGAUAAAGUCUAGGAAAUUCUUAAUUGGGACCCAUCAAGUUUAAAUUAUACUUUGCAUGGUAUGUUGCAUAGAACAUGAAAGUAAAUGUGAAUAGGACUGAAAAGGAGUGAUUAGGGACACGACUUGCCUUUUUAACCUUGUUCUUGCUGUUCGUACUCUUCGAAAACUUUGAUCUUCAAAUCCCUUGAACUGCUGACCGUCUACACGCGUCACACGACCACAUACAAGCAAACAAAUAUAAUACAUAAGAAAACAGUACACCAAUCAUAAUUAAAUAGAAGAAACAAAUUUGAAAAGCUAUUCUACGCAUUAAAACGAAAACACGGAUACAAGGAACGUUAAAAACGGAGCUACAGUGCAAAAACUACGCUUAAAACAAGAUGCAGGGGUAUAACUACGAGAAACCAAACUUCCAGGGAUUUAAUUUUAAAUAAUUUUGAACUGCAGAAGGGGCAGCAGGGCAAAACGUAGAAAAUGCAGGGGCUUAAGCGCAAAAGCAUGGCUGCUGACUCAGCUGACUUGAUGUGGAUCGUCGGAUGGCGAUCCGGCGGCCGGCAGCUGCUGCGCUGACGUCAGCGACGGCGAGCGCCGGCGAAAAACGGCAGUUCGCCGGAAUCGCCCGGGAACGCGCGACUGGGUGCAGAUUUGAGCGAGGAUUAGACUAGCAGAUAGAAACGAGCGCAGUGAACUCAUUUGGGAUGCCUACGGCGAGGACUUGGCGACGGCAUCGGCUCCGGCGAGAACUUGCGGCAGGGAAACCAAAUAAAAUAAAAUAACACGGUUCAGAGAAGCGGCGCUGGAGGAACGCGAGCGAUUUUGCGUGCGAGCGGAAGAAAACACUGCGAGGAAGAUGACUGCGGGCCCUGCUUGUCUGCGGCAGGAGGAGAGCUGCGUGCGAGAAGAACCUGGCCACGAUCUGGGCCGUUGCCUUCGAUCUGGGCCGAGGCAAGCUAGCUGGCCCGCUGCUGCGGAAAGGUGCUGGGCCACGGGCGGAGCACAGCGUCGGGCCAGAAAGGAGAUGGCUGCUGCGAGGAAACAAAAGAAAAUGAACUGGGCUGCGACAGAGGAAAACUGGGCGUCGGCCAGAAAGAAGCUGCGUGCAGCUUGCUCUUGUUUCCGAACUAGAAACAGGAACUGACGGAAAGACAGAAAUCAAUUGGAGACUGAAACUGACGCCCCAGACUCUGAACUUCGAAAAAACAGGACAACCAGCCAACUGACAGAAAAAAAAAAGCUUAACAACCCAAAAGCAGUACACAACCACGAAACCAGGCCACAAGACUGAAAAAGCUUGAUAGGAACAUCUGGCGACUGAACCAAAAAACUACAGAACUGCAACUGAAGAACUAGAGAACAGAUAAAUAACUGAUUGAACUCUGAAACUGAAACACCAAAGAGCAGGAAGCUGACUGACGGAAAAUGCAAAACAGCAACCCAAGGUGAAACACAAAUUCUUCUUCAAGCAUUCAAACAAAGAGAUAUGCAACAGCAUGAAUGCUCAAUAAAAUCCUAUAUUUCAUUAAUUAAUUAGAAAAAAUGCUCAAAUGCCUAGAAAAAUGCAAAAGUGACCUUAUAUGCCUUAAACAAGCAAAUUCGUUUCUAGCGAUUUUUGGUAAAAUGCAAAAUUAGAGAUUUUGGGUGUUACAUCAUGUUGUGCUGAUAAGCAGCCUACUAUUCAGUAACACUUUCAUGUGGCAUGUUCAUGUUAGCUAGCUAGAAACACUGUGCUUUUAGCUUCAAAAUUAAAUUCAUGACAUGAUGGACAUUGACAAUGAAUUUCUUGAUUGCCGAGCUAUGUACACUGUAAUCACAUUGUGGGGCUGAUAAAAUAAGCAGCGUUGAGACACAUAACAAUUGAAUCUUAAGCUUCACACAGAAUCUGGACCAGUCAUCCUCAUUCCUGUCAUGCUGGAAAUGUCUUUGAUACAUUUCAAUCACAGGCAAUUGAAUUCGUACUGGGGAGGAUGGCAAUGGUGCAUGAAGAGAGAUCAAUGUGGCAAAUCUCACAUUGUUCAUUACCAGGUAUCUCCGAUUUCUGGUUAUUUUAAAUUUACCUUGACAUGUGACUUAUUGAGGUAUUGUAUUUCAUCUAAUGGUAGUUCUGAAUUUAUGGUAACCUUGGAUGGGGUUUGUCACUUUAUACACGCACGGACUUACAAAGGACAGCAAAUGAGUAUAUUUAGAGGGCUCCUGUCCAACCAUGGACUAUACUUAUGUACCCUUUUUUGACAUGGUAAUUUGAGGUUAAUGGAAAAGUAGCGAUAGUCGCCUCCAGCGAAGCUACCUUCUUCGAAAGCUCCGAGGCUGCUUUCUCGCUCUUAGCAAGCCGAUCCCUCGUAAUCAUCGAAGAGUAAGAGACCUACAGAUUUUAAAAACCAAGUUACCAAAAAUAACGAAGUAAAAGACAACACUCGCAAGACAAACCACCAAACUAUCUCAUAAUUGUACCUUCUUUACGAGGUUCGCCUCCAAGUUAAAGAGCUCUUCCAAGAUCAUUGACUUCACAGCUUGCUGAAAAUCUAUGCGCCAAAGGAUAUAGUCGUAAGCAUAAAAUAAAAAUUGGUAAAAACCAAGGACAGCAAAGCCAUCUACAAGCUGUUCUUACCCUCAUACUUUCGCACCUCAACGGCGAUCGGAACAACCUUCUCUCUAGCCUCGCCCUUAGACGCCACCACAAUCUUCCCGCCACACAAAUCCACAACCCCUCCUUUACCUUUGCCCUCUCCCGAAGUCGUCGUGCCCGCCUUCUCCACCCUUUUUGAACCGCCAACAUCUGCAUAGCGCUCGCAACCUUCACCUUCAGCCCCCCAGACCAAAGACAGGUUGUGAGGAUUAUAAACCCUACCUUCGGCGCAUGUAGCUAGAAUCUCCGUGCGCCCGCUCAAGCCCAGACACUCAUUCAGUCCCUGAAGCCCCGCCGGCAACCUCUCACCUACAUCAUAACAUUCAACUUUUAGCCUCACAUGAUCCUCACAACUAACCUUACCAACGCCCCCCAUAGUUUCUUCCAAGUCCUUCAAAAAUUUCGUUGAGGCCUCACCACAAUCAAAGAACCGUAGCAUCGAUAGAAACACCUCUACAUGCUUACCAGAUCUCACAGCUUCGGCACACCCACCCUUUGGAUCAGAUGAGAACGCAUCCACAAGCUUCGCCUUUUCGGUGGCAAACCCCCUCUCAAGUUUCCCAACAUCAGUCAAGAGAUGUUGCGCGCUCUUAAACUUCGAGCUUAUGGAAGGCACCGUGAUCUUGGUACCAGCUGCCGAAGACGCGUCAACCUUGGCACCCGUAACAGUAACAGGAGCAAAUCGAGGUUUCUUGGCGCCUCUUUUGAUCCGUGCGGCGGGCCCGGUGGAUGAAGGUGCAAGAGCUGGAACCUCCUUAGGAGGGCGCAUAGAGACAGGAACAACAUAUGCCGGAUUGCUCAAGUCGCCAGACGAAGCUGUCGACCACGAUGGCAACAUAGCAGACGAAGCCCCCGCGGUCAUUUCCUUCCUUUUUUGCGCCUCCAAAUUCAAGGUCUUUUGCUUCGCCUUAGCGGUCACUUGCAAUUCAAUAGUGAGCUUCACCAUGGGUACGAAGUCAAAUUUUGCCUUUUUCCUCUGCUCAAGACUAGCACCGCGACGGCGCCUCUUGCCCGUAACUUUGGGGUGAGGCAGAACCACAAUAUCAUACAAGUCAAAAAUCUAAGAUGAUGACAUUCCAUUUGUAUCCAUGAUUUAUAUUGUGUUCCUUGAAUAUCCAUUAAAGUCUACUUGAAUUGAUUUGCAAUUAUGUGAAUUGUAUGUGAAACUCUUUCCUUGUAUGGUUAUUCUAAAGUUGUCCCUAGUCGGAGUUCAUGUGAGGACACAUGAAUAUUAGACUAGCACAUGUAUUAGUUGAUGACUAUGUUUCACAAGUCAUGGACAUGAAGAUGUGGAACUAAUAAUGUGGGCACAUGUGGAGACACGUGCUAGGACUGACCCAACACGAGAAGUAGUUCUCUCUUUAUACAACAUAUACGCUUUGUCCUUAGACCUGAGAUUGUCGCAUGUACUCAAGAUGUGGAUCGACUUACUUAGGGGCUAUCAAAUUCUACGCCGUAACAGGGUAGUUAUAAAGGUAGCUUUCGGGUUUGUCAAGAAGCAUGCUAUGAGACAUGGUCAAUCAAGAUGGGAUUUGCCCCUCUCUGAUUGAGAGUGAUAUCUCUGGGCCCCUCGAGUGAUCGGAUCCGAAAAUGCAUGGCCAUGCUACAUACGAUUAAGAGUUAGCCUACAAAAGGAUUCCGAAUCAUAGGAUCGAGAAAGAGCGGUCGGCUUGAAGCUAGACCAAAUAUCGUGAGGCAAAGGGAAUAGCAUGUAUAUAAUGUUGUGAUGGUUCGUCUGAUAUGAUCUUCGUGUGCGUAUAGGAGUUGGCACGUCUUGCUAGAGGUCGCUACCGACUAUUGGGCCGAGUAGGAGUACUCAGGCCAUGUCUAUACGUAUCCGAACCCAUAGGGUCACACACUUAAGGGGCUGGAAGCCCAAUUCGGAUGUGAUCCGAAUUGGAUUAGGUUUAGAAGUACUAAUGGGCCUUGGACCUAGAGGCCCGUUAGGAACCUCUAUAAAUAGAGGGGUGGGGGCGCCCUAGGGUUUACACCUUUUUGGUGAAACACAUCUGCCGCGCCUCCCACGCCUUCGCCUGUUGCAACUCGCGGACCUAGCAGUCCGGCUUGCGACGCUUCCUCCCUGCACGUGUGGAUACCUUGGAAGUGUUGCUCCUGCAGCACUUGGACGAGCCGCCAACGAGCCACGACGAGCCACGAUGAGCCGACGAUGAGCCGCGGCACGAGGGGGAUCUUGCUGCACGUGGACGAGCUGCUGAGGAGCUGCUGGACGUCGAUGUGUUCGACUACGUACGACUACGCUGAUCGACUUCGCUGCAUCAACGCGAAUCUACAUCUUCCGCAUCAUUGCAUCGAGUGGUAAUCCCGUGAUCCUGAUACGGCAGUUUUCCUAGUUUACGCGGUAGAAAAUUUUGUUUUGUGCUAGUGUAGCCUAACUCAUAUCCCAACAACGUGUGCUAUAGGUCACGCAAGCCUGAAAAUGGCCACACCGGACACCGGGUACGAAAACAUGGGGGAUGGACCGAACAUUUGAAAAUGGCCUCCAUAUGUGUUUUCGGCUAUGAAAAUGUGUGUUAUAGGUCACAGAAGCUUGAAAACGGCCGCACCAGCCACUAGGGACGAAAACGUGGGGGAUGGACCAAAGACAUAAAAAAUAGCCUCCAGACGCGUGUUCGGCCAUGAAAACGUGUGGUAUAGGUCCUGGAAGGCCAAAAACAGCUACACCGGCCACCUGGGACGAAAAAGUUUGUGUAAGACCGAACACUUGAAAAUAGCCUCUGGACGCGUGUUCGGCUAUGAAAAGGUGUGUUAUAGGUCACACGAGCCCCAAAACAACCACAGCGAACACCAGCUACAAAAACAUGGGGGAUGGAUCGAAUAAUUGAAAAUGGCCUCCAGACGUUUGUUCGGCCAUGAAAUCGUGCGUUAUAGGUCGCGGGAGCCCGAAAACGGCCACACCGGCCACCGGGAAUGAAAAUGUGGGGGAUGGACCGAACAAUUAAAAAUGGCCUCCGGAUGUGUGUUCGGCCAUGAAAACGUAUGUUAUAGGUCACGGGAGCAUGAAAACGGCCGCACUGGCCACUGGGGACGAAACGUGGGGGAUGGACCGAAGACGUGAAAAUAGCCUCCAGACGCAUGUUCGGCCAUGAAAAUGUGUGCUAUAGGUCAUGCAAGGCCAAAAACAGCUGCACCAGCAACCGGGGACGAAACCAUGGCUGUCAAACCGAACGCUUGAAAAUCGCCUUCGGACGCGUGUUCGGAUAUGAAAACAUGUGUUGUAGGUCACGCGUGCCCGAAAACGUCCACAACGGACACCGGGUACAAAAACGUGGGGGAUGGAUCGAAUAACUGAAAAUGACCUCCGAACGCGUGUUCGGCCAUGAAAACGUGUGUUAUAGGUUGCGGGAGCCCAAAAAUGGCCACACCGGCCACCGAGGAUCAAAACGUGGGGGAUUGACCGAACAAUUAAAAAUGGCCUCCGAUUGUAUGUUCGGCCAUGAAAACGUGUGUUAUAGGUCAUGGGGGCCCAAAAAUGGCCGCACCAGCCACCAAGGACGAAAAUAUGGGAGAUGGACCAAAGACAUGAAAAUGGCCUCCAGAUGCAUGUUUGGACAAAAGUGUGUGCUAUAUGUCGUGCAAGGCCAAAAACAGCUACACCAGCCACCGGGACAAAAACGUGGGUGUUUGACUAAACAAGUGAAAAUGGCCUCCGGAAGCAUGUACGGCUAUGAAAAUGUGUGCUAUAGGUAAUGGAAGGCUAACAAAAGCUACACCGGCCACCGGGGACAAAAUCAUGGGUGUCAGACUGAACACUUCAAAAUGGCCUCCGGACGCGUGUCCGGCUAUCAAAACGUGUGUUAUAGGUCAUGCGAGCCCGAAAACAACCACACUGAACACCGGGUACAGAAACAUGGGGGAUGGACUGAAUAACUGAAAAUGGCCUCUAGACGCGUGUUCGGUCAUGAAAACAUGUGUUGUAGGAUGCGGGAGCCCGAAAACGGCCACACCGGCCACCAGGGCAUGGACCAAACAAUUGAAAAUGGCCUCCGGAUGUGUGUUCGGCCAUGAAAACGUGUGUUAUAGGUCACGGGAGCCCAAAAAUAGCCGCACCGACCACUGGGGAUGAAAUCGUGGGGGAUGGACCGAAGAUGUGAAAAUGGCCUCCAGAUGCGUGUUCGGCCAUGAAAACGUGCGCUAUAAGUCAUGUAAGGCUAAAAAUUGCUACACCGGGACUAAAGCAUCCCCCAUGAGUUACAAUAAAAGGAUUGUAUCCUCUACUCAGUCGGAUGUACUGUGUAGGUGAGAUGGUAAGGAAGCUAUGCGCGAGGUUUGAGGUUGUGGGUUGAAAUCCUACGCACCGCGCGCACACGCGCAUAUUUUGUGUGAAAAAUCAUGUGACUUGUGAUCGGCCAAGGAGAAGUGGGUGCAGCUGUGGCUUAAGUGGCUGAGGCACGCUGCCAUAGACAUCUCCGAUUUGCUCGAAGACUACCAAGACACUAGCAAUAACAAGAACUACUGCUCUUCCUAGCAGACUCUUUACAACCACUUUAAAGCUGUGCAUUUCUCAAUGUAAUUUCGUAGAAGGCAAUCGAUCCAACCAAGCGACUAAAUCAUUUGUUCUUGCCAAUGAUGUACAUCAGGUUUUCUAUAUGAAGGACAUGUCUAGCAAACCUAAGAUUUUAGAAGAAAAAGAAAAAUUAUGGGAGUCAAUAAUAAAUCAGGCCAAUCAGGAGAUUAUAGUAAGCUCGAUGGUAUGCCUCCAUUCGAUGUCGAAGUUGGCCCAAGCAUCAUGUUAGCCAAAGAUCAAAUGUUCGUGCAUUGCUACGGUAAAGAUCAAUUGUGUCUUUUAAACCCAUGGAAUUUUUUAUCUAUGUUUUUAUUACACUUAAUGGAUGUCUACACAUUUGCUAGAAAAUCAAAAUAAUUUUGACUUAAUUAUUUCUUUCAACUCAAAUACUCAUUAAAUUUCUACCUUUUUAUUUAAGCAAGAGAGUUGCUCAAAAAAUGGAUACGUAACCAUGUUGUAUCAUACAAAGCAACCACAUUUCACAUAUAGUCUGGCUUAGCAAACACCAUUGUUGUCUUAACAUAGUGUUCAUGAGUUAGUAGACAUGGAUCUAUUUCUAAUUGCAAGUAGUGCAGCGUACAACCAGCCUGCACCGCCGCAGCUCAAUAUGCGAUAAUUUUUUAUCUUCCCAUGUAAUUUUUCUACUCUAGUACAUAUUGAACUCCACAUAAAUGUCAUGUUCUUUCACGCCACAGACGGUUUCUAAAGUUUGGAACUAAAUAGAUAGCCAAAAAUUUUAAAAAAAUAUUUAUAUGGAUACAUGUAUGUUCUUUGCAAACUAACAAUAUUGUUUACAAUAUCAAAAGGAAUAUGGCUAUGAUCAUUGCCGCAUAUGGCAGGUGAUGGUAGAUGCCGUAUGGGGUUUCUUUAACUUAAUUGUAUAAUAAGCUGAAAUACAUUUUCUAUUUGCAAAUGAAUCAUAGCUGAAAGUGGUGGGAUUGUAGAACCGCCGGCCAUCGUGUCCUUGUAGGACCGCUGCACGAGCCUGUGAGCCACCAGCCACCAUGCGCCCAAGGGCCAUCACCACGCCAUAAGAGGAUGCUGUCUACCCGGUUUCGCGCGCCUGUGCUAGCUGCCUGAACCUGGGCCGCCGCCGGUCGCCUGCCCAGCCGCGCGUUGCGCCAGGGUUUUGCUGGUGACGACCAUGGCCUUCGCGAUCAAAUUAAAAAGUUAUCAACUGCAAAGUAUUAGGUCUCGUUGAGCUCUACAAUUUUGAUAUAAAGUUUCUAUUCAUCCGAGAUCAAAUAAAAAAUUUGAUACUCAAAGCAUAAAUCCAUUAAUCUAGUCUUGCUAAUCCUUACCACCAAAUAAAAAACUAGCAUGUGUUGUGUGUUUGUGACCCUAAACGAUCACAAAUGAAUAACUUAUGGGCCUUGCUAGCGCCCGGAUGUCCAGGCCGGGGCACUAGCAUCAGACCCACGAGUAGCCGUCCGAUCAGGUUCGACACCACUUCAGGAUCUGGCUUAAAAAGAAGUCCCACCGAAACAUUGUUCCAUGUUGCAUGAAGCAACCCACUACCGUCGCCAGGUCUAGAGCAAGCACCACCUUCAAAUGUGCUGCUCACCCUAGCUAAAUAGGGGCAUUAAAAUAUUUCUCGCAUAUCCUUCUCAAAUUAAACAAAAUCGCAACAUCUGAAAAUUUUUACAGAAAACCAUGAAACAUAUCGAUUAGAUAGAUGUAACAAGAUGGAAUAUGGUAUAUGCAACAUAUAGGUUCCGAAAAGCAGAUGAAAUAUUAUGUAAUGAUUCUUGAAACAGUCAAGAAAAAUAGAUGUAACAUCUAAAAUUAAGAAAAGAAGCUUUAUGCAAAUUGCAAAAAGCUGAAACAAGUGGUUGAAACAUUUCAAAUCACCAAAUGCCACAUUUGAAAUGACCAGAUGAAACAUCACGAAAUCAAUUGCAACAGUUGAAGAUGAAAACAUUCAAAUGCCUUGCCUUUCUCCAAAUUUGACCCUCCAAGCAUGAGUCCAGCCAUUUGCACAUUAGACCCUUGGGAGGAGCUCACCGGAGAACAACAAGACCGUGUUAUCCAACAAUUUUCAGAUCAAAUUGCAACAUAAAGAACAAAGCAUUGCAACAUCUGGCAUCACGAGCUACAACAGCAACCAGUUAGGAUCAGGAGAAAGAGGGCAAACACAAGCCUAACAAUGAGUUAUAUCCGGUUUAAACAAGGAUAAAAAUGAGUGUAUUUUACACUCAUCAUGUUGUCUUUUCGCAGCUGUACCGCCUUUAGCGUGUUGUAUUGUUCCUAACACCAAGUCUCCGAGGCCCGAAAAAAUAAGGAAAGUGGUAGCAGCUCAGAAAUCGACUAAGUUUCUUUCCCCCUUUGGCUUUCCUACUAGGAUUCGGAAUCCUCUUUCGUAUGACAAUCUUAAUGAUCUCCCAUAGUCCAAAACUCACAAAAACAUCAAAAAUCCACCGAGAAUAAAUUAAGUAAAAAAACAUGCACACACAGAUAAUAAUAGUAAUCAUGUUUCAUUAUGAUUGCUAAGGUCAGACACAAUACAUAAACAUAUUAGACUGAGUGACCCACCUCACCUCAGAGUAUGCACCAUGUCUGAGUGACCCACCUCACCUUGCCAGGACACUGGUCCUGCCCUCGUGGUUCACGCGCCCUCGUGGUUCAGCAGUGGUCAGUACACAAAUCUAGCUGCCAGUCGGAUCCAAGGGCAGGCAUUUGCAUUGUGGUUGUGUUUGAACAUGGAGAUGUCAUUAUUAUUGUCAGGCACCAUACAUCCUCUCUCAGUUUCACUCCGCCUCACACACGGAUAGCACACCAGGGACCCGACACCAUGCAUGCCGAUUUCAUAUUAUUAAUAUUUAAUUUUUUUAAUGGUUGUUGAAACUAUAUUGUUGAUAUUUUUAUACAUAAUUUACGACCUAAUUUGGAUAUAUUUUUGAAAUAUUCCGAAAUCUUAAAUUCACACGUCUAGAGAUACAGUUAGUCCAAUCUGAUGUUUCCGAUUAUAAAAAUGAACAUAAAGAGAUAGGAAGCGAGAGACGUGAGGGGGAAAGUUAAAUUAGGGCCUAAGGGGUGAAGUUAGGGUUCCAGGUGAGCUGUCAUCACUACGUGUUUUUAAUCGAAAUUGGAAUGUCAGCAAUCGUCAGAUCUUGAGCCAACAGUUGAGACUGCCUCGGAAUGGUAAUUAGGUCUGCGCGAGCUUGCAUUGUGGCCUUCCUUGAAACCUUGGACAUAGGUGUUAUAUUAUUAUGUUCUUGCCAGCACACAGCAGUGAAGGACGACACAGUUGAGAUGUGCAUCACAUUUUCUAUAUGAAGGAUAUGUUUAGCAAACCUAAGAUUUUAGAAUAAAAAGAAAAAUCAUGGGAGCCAAAGCGCCACAUAGUUCUUCCAGGUAAAAAAAAAUCAUCCACUGGACCAGCACAUAGUAACGAUCCAAAAAGUCCAUAUUAAGAUUUUUUGAUAGCAGAAAAAACAUAAAAUGUCUAAUAUUUGUAGUAUUAAAAGGAAAAAUAAUAUAUUCACGUGACCUUUUUCCCGUAGCAAGGCACCGGUACGUGGUCAGACUUAAUGCACGAUGCCUAAGCAUCCAUUGGGCCUACCCUCGUGUGGAUCACGCGCAACAGGACACGGCUCACAAGCUAUGAUGUGCAGCAGUCGCUCAGAUGGCUGAAAGGUACCCUUAAUUUGAAUGGUACCAUAUAUAUAUAUAUAUAUAUAUAUAUAGUAAACAAGACAAACCACCGUUGAUACUACUUUGCACUACUUGAUACAUAUAUCUCCACCAAAAGCGAGGCACGUGGGGAGGAGAGAUAUGUGGUUGAUGGUGCGGGCACGUGGCGAGUGCACCGUACGAAAAUUUUGCUCGUGUCGGACGACUGAUGUGAAGCAUUACCCAAUCUUAAUUAUCUCCCAUAAUCCAAAACUCACAAAAACAUCAAAAAUCCGCCGAGAAUAAAUUAAGUAAACCAUGCACACACAGAUAAUAAAAUUGCUAAUAAGGCCAGAGACAAUACAUAAACAUAUUAGACUGUUCAUGACACAUAUCACGGUGGAUAGUGUCUGUGUCCUUAUUACAAGCAAUGAGAGAUGCUUGUCACCACACACACGCGCACAGAUGCACAACAUACAUAUAGUUGAGACCAACAGAUGGAUCAACUAGAGGUCACCCCAUAUGGUGAACAAUUUAUUGGAGAUAAACAUUAACAUAACUUGGCCAUAGCUUGAAGCAUAGCAACAUAUGCCUAUGAACGGCGUUCAUGCUAUCAUUUUAGGCUUGUCCGCUUCUUCCAUCUUAGCAAGCACUUCCAUUUCUACCAUCUUAGAAGCAACUGUCAAAUUGAGAUAUGGAAAUCCCAUUAGCGCAUGAGUUAAUUUUGCAGUGAAAAUAGAGUACAAGAUAUCUUCAUGAUGUAAGUAACAUGCCUGAAGUUGUGAGAUGGGAAGUGAAGUCAACAAAUUACAUUAACGGAAAUGCAUGGAAGGCCACACAUACGUAUUAGUCCAUGAUAUGCUACAAAGCUUGUAUGUACAUAUAGCAAAUUAAAUGCAUUAAUUGAAUAGAGUGAGUUUAGUGAAUUUACCAGAAUCGUCCAGAAAACAUGGGAAACAGCAAGUGUUCUUGCAGACUGCGUCGGUGCCACCCACAGCAAUACAACCAAAACAACAUGCUUUUGCCCGAGCGGCUGCGCAGCAGCCGCACUCUGCCGCGGUGGCCGAGUUAGCAUUGAGGCUCAAGAUGACCAGGCACAUGAUCACCAUCAAAGCGGUGGUAGUCCUCUUUCCCUCCAUUGCCUCCUCUUGCUGCUACCUUCCUUGGUUACCUAGCUAAGUUUAUUGGUUUUGUGUUGAGAGGUGAUUCUUGCAUUGAAUGGACGUUGCCGCGGCUGCAAUUUAUAGGCAGCUGCGCUAUGUGAUGAUAUGGACAAGGUGCAAAUGGGUGGUCCUGAUAUGGAUAAGGUGCAUGCGAAUGGCUGUCUACUUGUAUAGUGGCGCUCCAAUGUACAUACGUAUGUAUCUUAUGCAUGUAUACAGUUGAUGGAUGUACAUGUUUGUUGCACAAAUUAUUCUGAACCAACUCUUCAUAACAGGUCUUUGUUACCAAGUAAUUUUACUUUUGCACGUUUCAGCCGAGAGGCAGAAGAGAAUAUUUUACAGAGAGGGCAGAGAAGGAGGUUGGCGGAGGCGCCGUGGUAGGGUUCCCCGUGUCGCCAAGAUUUUUGCAUUUUAGAUGUGUGUAUUGAUCACUUCGUCGUGCUCGCGGGGCCCAACUCCAGGUUGUACCCCAGCAGACCACGUUCUGUUUCUCUGCCUCCAAUGAGCAUGCAUGCCUCCACAAGGACCACAAGACUUAGUAAAAAAGCUAAACUUUGCAACACGAUGUAUACAGAACGUUUUGAAAUGUACUCUCGUUAGGCAUUCACCUCCUUAACAAUCACUGCGACUGUAAAAGAGGUACAUCGACGCUAGCUAAAUAAACCACUAUAAGAUUUAGCAAGAGAUCAUUUUAUACAAUCCUGUAACGAAACAAUUUGACAAUUAUAGUGUCCAUAUAUUUUGACAAAAAAACGUUUAAAUUAUAUAAGGAGGUGGGCCCGAAAACGGUUGGAUUACAUCGAGAACGUUUUGAAACAGUUGGCGGAGCAGGAUUCUGGCGUGGAGCAUCUACAUUGUCGCGCGCGCGGACUGCCGGAGUAGGCACGCUCGACUUGUCCCAUCGCCAGCUAAAUGAUUUAGUACCGGAUGGUCUCUAGUACCGGUUGGAGCUACCGUCCACCAGGAGCUUUUCUAGUUUGGAACUGGUACUAAUGCUAAUAUUAGUAUCAGGUCAAAAACAAUCGGUACUAAGGCUAGGGAUGACACGUCAUUUUUCUAGUAGUGUGUGCAAUUGGUUUUGUAAUUAGUCUAUAUUUAAUACUUCUAAUUAGUAUCUACACAUUUUAUGUGACAGGGACUGAACUUUAGUCCGUGGAACCAAACACCCCAUAAGUAUGUUUGGUGCUGUAAGGAUUUCGGUUUUAUUUAAUUUCCUAGGCAUUUAAAUUUCUUUCUAAAAUAAGUUAAUGAAUCAUAGGAUCUCAUUGUUGUAUUCAAGCUGGUGCAUUGAUUUUGCCUAUAAAACCCGCCGCGGUCUUCGCAGCCCCCAUCAAACCCUAGCGCCCUUGCCACAAGCUCAGCACCGCUGCCGCCCGAGCUCGAGCACUAGCACCCACCCAUCGCCGUUGCCUUCCCGUCGAUGGGAUCACCGCCCGGAGCUUCGCAUCGUGGUAAGGAAGCCGCCCGUGAAGAUCCCAUGUGCUCCUAUGCCCUCUACCGCGUCCCCGAGUUCCCGGAGUUGCUAGUCUCCCACCGAGCCGACUCUCCGAGCUUCACGUCACUGGUGCCGCUCCGAAGACCUAGUUCGGUUCGCCAUGCACCUCGCUUCAUCCUGAGCUAAACCCCAUAAUGAAUGGUGGUCGGAUGCUCGCCGCCACGGCGCGUCGUCUUUUCUGUCGCCCGUGCAUUGCCUAUCCCCUUCCAGCCGAUUGCAGCUGUCCGAUCGCAAACCGGUGGCCCUGAUCGGAUACCAAGGUCAAUACCGGUCGAACCGAGCCGUGCGCUGCUUUUGCAAGAAGGCCCCUGUUUUUCUCUCUUUUUGCACCUGAGGUCCUACGCAGUUCAAAAGUAAUAAGAUCUAGGUCCUUUUUCUUUUGUUUUAGCCCGUGUUCUUUUAUAAAAUCCCGCCCACUAUUCUGUUUGGUCUUUUGACGCGUUAGACCUUCUUUUUAUAUGUUUAAUUAGGUUUUAGGUCUCGAUUUCUUUAAGUUUAGCCCUUGAAAGUUUAGUUCUCUCGCAGUUAAGCCCCUGAACCUUGUUUAGCUCAUAUCUUAAGCGUUUUAAAUCCGUUUUAACAGAUUCUUGCGCCUAUAAGUUCAUGUUGACGCAUAGAUUAGUUGACUUAUACGAACCUUGCUGAUUCAGCUCCUUGAUUGUGCUUCAGAUCUCGCUAGGGAAGAAUAAUGGAUGGGCUUUGGUUGAGCUUGUAGAUCGACUUGCAGUUGCAGUGAAUGAGCAGAGGAUUGGCAGUGAAUAAGAUCAGGCCGCUGCCCUGCUUGGUAGGGAAAAUAUCUGCUUGCUACCAAGGCCUGUGACGCAUGGACCCCAUUGAGAGUGCAUUAUUGACAAGGACUUAAAGCCAAGGGCUCCACACCUGUCAUUGAUCAGCUGUCUGCUGGGCGCUGCAAGGAGGUAGUGCAUGUUUGACAUAAAGAAGCAGGUGGCCCAGGAUUUACGAAAAAUAAGGAUCUAUUUGAUACCCUUGCUUAUAUUUAGGGGCUAAAAGUUGCUUAUUUGAAGUUGCUUAUUUUUAAUCCUAGCUGUUUGAUUGCAUGGGCUAAAGAGCAUUGAAUGAGGUGGAUAUUGUCAUGUUUGCCUCUAAUGAUUGCUUCCCAUCACAUUUCUCCCCCCUCAUUCAACGAGGGAAGGAGGUGUAAAGUGCACCUUUUAGCCCCGAUAAGUAACCCUUGUGUUGUUUACGGGCUGAACAUAAGUAGCUAAAGUUUAGCUCCAAUAAACAAGAGUGUUUGGUAUUUUUGGGGUUAAAAGGGGCUAAACUUUAGCUGCUUAUGCAUAAGCAAGGCCAUCCAAAUAGGCCCUAAGUAUGUUUGGCGUUGUAAGUAGGUUUUAUUUAAUUUCCUAGGCAUUUAAAUUUCUUUCUAAAAUAAGUUAAUGAAUCAUAGGAGUUCAUUGUUGCAUUCACGCUGGUGCAUUGAUUUUGCCUACAAAACCUGCUGCCGUUUCCGCAGCUCCCAUCAAACCCUAGCACCCCCGCCACGAGCUCCAGCGCCGCUGCCGCCCGAGCUUGAGCACUAGCGCACACCCAUCGCCGUCGCCUUCCUAUCAAUGGGAUCACCGCCCGGAGCCCGUGUCAUGGUAAAGAAGCCGCCCGUGAAGAUCCCGUCCACUCUCGUGCCCUCUACCGCGUCCUCGAGUUCACCGGAGUUGCCAGUCUGCCACCCAGCCGCCUCUCCGAGCUUCAUGUUGUCGUUGCCACUCUAGCUGCCUCUCUGAAGACCUAGAUCGGUUUGCCGUGCACCCCGCUUCAUCCUGAGUUAAACCCCAUCAUGCCACGUCAUAGUAAGGAAGCUGCUCAUGAAGAUCCCGUGCGCUCCCGUGCCCUCUACCGCGUCCCCAAGUUCACUGGAGUUGCUAGUCCACCACCGAGCCGCCUCUCCGAGCUUCACUUCACAGUCGCUGCUCCAGCCACCACUCUGAAGACCUAGAUCAGUUCGCUGUGCACCCCACCUCAUCCUGAGCUAAACCCCAUGACGAACUGUGGUCGGAUGCUCAUUUUCGAGUGAAUUCCGGCGAGAUGGUCGCCCGCCGCCGCCAUCUCCAUCGCCCAUGCACCGCCUGUCCCCUUCCAGCCGAUGUCCGAUUGCAAACCGAUAGCCGAAAUCGGAUGUGGUCACCAGGAUUAAUACCAGUCAAACUAAGCCACGCGUGCCGCUUUUGCAAGAAGGCCCCUAUUUUUCCCUCUUUUUGCACUUGAGGUCCUAUGCAGUUCAAAAGUAAUUAGAUCAAGGUCCUUUUUCUUAUGUUUUAGCCCUAUUCUUUCAUAAAAUCCCGGCUGCCAUCCUGUUUGAAAUAGAUACGGUUAUAGAUAUGCAAACAUCUGCAUAUUUCCAACCGUAUCUCUUUCGAACGGGAGACGCCUAACUAGGUUACGUGACAUACGAACAUCAUACGGAUAGAGAGGGGUAGGAUGUCUCACCUUGCUAUCCUACAAAGUGACGACUCGAGGACAGUAAUGUAGCCUCUCCUUCAAAAAAAGAACAUACUACUAUCAAGUUAAAUUUUUGACAGCACCUCCCCUGCACGUGGAGGUUUCCAUAACCUGCAUCAAAUAAAACGGCACGAUGGCUGACAACCACAUCUACAGCACCAGAAUGGCACGAUGGCCGACUUCCACAUAAAGUUCUUAUACCUUAGAUUGCCAAGUCAAACAUCCUUUUCUAAUUUCUAAAACAAAAGCCCUCCCACCUCUCUAUCUUAUACUUUCCUAUUUACUAAUUGCUUUUGUAAUUUCUAAUUUCUAUUUCAUCCUACCACCUCUGUACCCUUUUCUCAUUUCUAAUUCCAAUUUUCUAACUUGAAGAGCAAAGAUUGAUUACUAGGAGGGGUGAGGGACGCCGGCCUAGAGAGGCGAGGGGACGUCCGGCGGCGGCGGGUGCGUCGGGGGUAGGAUGCCAGGGGCGGCUGCAGGGGCGCCGGGUUGGGGGCGGCCGGGAUCGAGGGCACCAGUAGCGGGGGCACCGGGCCGGGGGCGGCCGGCGGGGCGGGACGCCAGGGCCGGGGCGACGGGCGCCGGUGGCGAGGCCGCCCGGCCGGUGGUGGCCGGCGUGGCGCCUGGGCCGGGGGGGGGGGGCGGGCGGGGUGCGGCGCGGCGCGCCGGGGCAGGGCGCCGAGGCUGGGUGGUGGGGUACGGGGCGGCGGGCGGGGGGUGGGGGGAGGGUCGGCGGCGGGGCGCGGGGGCGGCCAGCGGCGACGGCGGAGGGCGUCGGUGGUGUUUCGGAAGUGAUACGGAGGGGGUAGAGAGAUUCGUUUUCGCGGCUGAGUGUUCGAGUCAGAAGGCCGUGCGGCUUAAGUCAGGUGGUUUGCCGAGUGCGCGCGAUCUGGCACUCGGCAAAGUCAGAAGUUUUGCCGAGUGUCAGAUCGCGGGCACUCGGCAACUGCAGCUUUUGUCGAGUGCCCUGGAUUCGGCACUCGGCAAAGUGAAGUUUUAAUUUUUUUUAAAAAAAUUUAAUCGGAACACGGGCGUGCCAGCGGGCCCGUGACAUACUUUGCCGAGUGUGUAGCAAAAACACUCGGCAAAAUAUUAUCUUUACCGAGUGUUUUCGCUAGGCACUCGGCAAAGUACACUUAUAUUUCAUGUACACUUUUUCAAUAACGUGUUUUACUAACCUUUUUCUGAUAUACUUGGGAAAAACCUUAUCAAAUUCACUCAACAAUGGAUAUAUGGUUUUUCUACUGACAUUAUUCCAUUAUUUCAUUCAGUUAUAGCUCAAAUUGAAUUUAUAUCUAUUAAAAAUCAAUAAUUGCAUUUAAUAAAUAAAAAAUACCAAACGGAUCUGAAAAAUUUCCAAAAUUUGACAUGAACCAAUCUAUGUUGUAUGUUGCCUGUACAAAAAGCUUUGAAGUCAAACCCCAAUUCAAGUGUCACUUGGACUCCAAAUCUUAUCGGAUCCUUUCUAACUUCUAUGAAUCCUUUCGGGAGAUGAGUCGGUUUGUAAGCAUCAUAUGUCAUAAAUUGGGCGAAACCUUCUCAAUUUUUUACCACAGCCUCCACAUAUAAUAUCAUGACACCUUGACAAAUCUUGUGAUUUUCAGACUUCGUUUGCUUUUUUUAGAAUUUAACAACCAUUCAACCACAUGUUCGUGAUCGUGUUUUCUAAAAAAAUGUUCAAAAUUUCUUUUCAUUUCCUGGUUGAGACCUCAAUCCGGAUUGAAUAAUAUGAAUAUGAUUUUUUCACUGAUUUUAAUCCAUUAUUUAAAUCACUUGCAGUUAAAUUUGACUUAAAUAAACAAAUUCCUAUUAAUGCUAUCAAUUCAUUAAAAAUAGCAAACAGAGAAAAAAUAGACCAACUUUUAAGAUGGAUUACCAAAUGUCAUAUGUGGGGAGUAGAAAAAGUGUGGAGAGCAGAGGUGGAAAAAAAAGUUUUGCCUUUGCCAAGUGCCUACACAAACACUCAACAAACUUUGCGGAGUGCCUAUUGAAAACACUCAGCGAACUUCUGAGUUUGCCGAGUGUCUGGAGGGAGCACUCGGCAACCUACUUAUUUGCCGAGUGUCCGCGUCGGACACUCAGCAAAGUACUAACGGCUGGCACACUCCCCUAACGGACGGCGCACGUGCAAGCCAUGUGCUGGAGAUUUAUCGAGUGUCAAAUCGUUGCCGAGUGUCGUGUGGAUGUUUGCCGAGUGUCUUAUUUGUGACACUCGGCAAAGCUAUUGUUUGCCGAGUGUAUUAUUUAUGCCGAGUGUCUUCCAGUAUACACUCGGCAAAUGAUGUCUUUGCCGAGUGCUCGACAUAAAGCACUCGGCAAAAAUUUUACACUCGGCAACAUUCCUGUUUCCGGUAGUGAGUGACCCGGGACUAAAGACCCCCGUUGUCUCUGAUUGCUUUAUUCCGGAUGGAUUUUCAGGAGAUUUGCUCCCUACCAAUAGGGACUAAAGGCAAGUUUUCCACUUAUAGCAAACCAGUUAGCCCAUUGUUGAUGGAACGCAUCACUAGAAACAGCUCGGGAUCCACUUGUCCAAUAAUCGAGAGGGCCUAUAUAUGGACCACGUGUGCGGAUCCCUAAUUAGGAAAAAAGAAUAAUGGAGUAGGACAUCUCCAUGCUCACCUAGUAGCCGCUGCUAGCUUGUGCGUGUGGAACACGAGUGCCGGCCCAGUUGGCGCUAAGACAUCGUACGUGCAUUAAGGCUACGAUCUCUUUCUUCUAACUCAUGCUUGUGCUAUUAUACAUUAUUGCAUGAUCAUCAAGAUAAGAUCGUAUAGUGACUGAGUGAGACAUGUAUGUACUAACAUGCAUUUAAGCCUCGAACUGUGUGUUGUUACGUGAGCUGCCUCCUCACCUCGCCUCUGAAUUAUUGAACCGUUUCCAACAGUGUUGGUCUCAAAUAAAUUUGACACCAAACAGAUUUAUGAAGAAGAGAGAAUAAUACUUGGAAUUGGAAAAAGUUUAUCUCUCUUUACAAUGGAGUAGGGCUCCCUUUUAUAGUGACCCAUAAGCCACUUUACAUUUGGAAAAUGUCCUUCCUCAACCACUACAUUAAUUCCUAGGAUAUGCUGUACAUAAAGGUCAUUUGAGGUAACGUGUACAAAUGAACUCUUCCACAUGGUCACGUUUCUCAUGCCUCCUGUUUUCCAACCUCGAGACAUCAUCUUCACGCCAAGUUGAUCAUCUAGCCUCGAGGCUCCAUCCACGAUCCAGAAUGAACGUCCAGGCUUGAGGCUCCUUCUUCGUUAAGCUUUGUUGAGAACUCAUAACCUCACAUAGUUCUCCUCCGAGUAUUGUUCCCGACUCAGAACACUCGAGGUUUAGCUCAGUUGGAGUUUAGCUAUUACUGUUGCUAGUCACCAGCCUCGAGCCCCUCCAGAAGCAAGGUGAUGCGAGGGUACGAGUUUUACUAUUAAAGGUGUUUCCAUAGAAUGUGCGAGGUUAAAGCACUUGCAGCAAAAGCGUGGAGCUGCUUUCAACCAGAGUGCAAUAAUGCAGCCGUGCCCAUCUUGGUCUUGGUCUCCGCCUGAACUAUAGCAGAUGCUGGCAGCGGUAGCAGGGUGGUCCAUUAUAUCUAUGGAUGGCAAUGGUCGGAUUCGGAUGGAAUCGAAUUCGAAUAGCACUUUUUACCACAUACUAAUUCAAAUCCGAAUUCGGAUUCGGAUGUUCUCGAAUGCGAAUGCAAAAUGGAUGGUUCGAAUUCGAAUACUUAGCGGAUUUUUGCAUAAUAUUAAUCGAAUAGAAUUCAUUAAAUUUAGCCAAGAAAUUAAAUUUUCUGAAAUUAAAUACUUUCCCUUCGCCCCAGCGGCGGCCUAACUCCCAGGACGGUGGCGUGCGGGGCCCGAGCAUCCCUGGCCUCUAGUGGCGUGGCGGGGCGGCAUCCAGCAGCAGCGGCGGGGCUCGGCCUCCGGUGGCGCGCGGCCAGCCCGACCUACCCGGUCAGAGGUGGCGCAGCGGUGCGCGGGCCUCCCCGACCAGAGCCGGUGGGGAGCGGUGCGCGGGGAGGACCUCCCCAGCCGGAGGUAGCAGGGCGCGACCUCCCCGGCCGGAGGUGGCUCCCUGUGGGGGCGCGGCCGUGACAGCUAGCGAGGCAAUAAUUGCUUCCGUACGCAGCAAUAAUUGCUUGUGCGACACCGUGUUAUUACUCUGGUACAGUACUCCCUCCGUUGCAGUACACUGGUCCAGGCGUCAGGACACUGCUCCUGCCCUCGUGGUUCACGUGCAUCAGGCCAGCAGACAAGCUAUGAUGUUGCCAACAGUGUUUGUUUGAACAUGGAGAUGUCAUUGUGAUUGUCAGGGACCCGACACCAUGCAUGCCGAUUUCAUAUUCUUAAUAUUUAUUUUUUUAAUGGUUGUUGAAACUAUAUAGUUACUCCAAUAUCACGUUUCCGAUUAUAAAAAUUAACAUAAAGAGAUCGGAAGGGAGAGCCCGCAUAAUGAAGCCGACGCGUAUAAUAAGCACUAGAGCCGGCAUUUAUACAAACGGGUACGCAUAGUAAAAACUAGAAUUUAUAAAUAAAUGAAGAUAUUCAAAUAUCUGGCUUACUUUUUUCAUUAAUUUUGCAUGAAUAAGGGAUGAUUCAUUAAUCAUUAUUGAACAAAUUGGCACACAUGCUUCGUGCCCGCGUUGUGAGCAUUAUGCGAUGCCACUGAGCUGCACCACCACGGUAGAGGGCCUGUUUGCGAUGCCACCGAGCUGCACCACCACGGCAGAGGGUCUGUUUGGGAAGGGGAAGUUAAAGUUUAACACCCCCCAUUUAACACCUUUUUAACAAAAUGGCUGCUAAACACUUGUGUUAAAAGAGUAGUGUUAAAAUUUAACACCUCUCUUUUCAUAAACACAUGGAGGGGGUGUUAAAAUUUGCUAAAUGUGUUAAAAGUGGUCCCCUCCCCACUUAUUCCUUGGUUGCCCCCCUCUCUCUCCUCCUCUCUCUCCUACCCGCCGCAUUUAAGAGCAUUAUUGAGGGGUAAUGCAGUCCUUUUCCAACAAAAGUGUUAAACUUUAACAACCCUUCCCAAACAUGCCACAAGCAACACCACCGGCUGACUGUGCUAGCGGGGAGCACCCUCACCGCCUGCCCGUGGGGACUUCUUCUGCCGGCCAUCGUGUCUUUGUAGGACCGCCGCGUGAGCCUAUGAGCCACCGGUGGCCGUGCGCCCAAGGGCCAUCACCAUGCCACCUGAGGAUGCUGUCUACCCGGUGCCGCGUGCCUCUGCUAGCUGCUUGCACCUGGGCCGCCGCUGGUCGCCUGCACAGCCACGCGUUACAGCCGCCCCCCUGCGCUGGGCCACCCCAUUUCGUGUUGGAAGAACUGCCACAGUCUCGCGCACUGGGGUUUUGCUAGUGACGACCAUAGCCUCCAAGAUCAAAUGAAAAAGUUGGUACUCAAAACAUACAUCCAUUAAUCUAGUCGUGCUAAUCCUUACCACCAAAUAAAAACUAGCAUGUGUUGUGUUUUUGUGACCCUAAACGAUCACAAAUGAAUAACUUAUGGGCGUUGCUAGCCUAUAAGUUAUGGGCGUUUGUGACCCUAGUCGCGCCGGGGUCUUGCUGGUGACAACCAUGGUCUUCGCGAUAAAGUAUUAAGUCUCAUCGAGUUCUACAAUUUUGAUAUAAAAUUUCUAUUCAUCCGAGAUCAAAUGAAAAACAAAUGAAAAAAUCCGAAGUAUUAGGCUUCAUCGAGCUCUACAAUUUUGAUAUAAAAUUUCUAUUCAUCCGAGAUCAAAUGAAAAAAUCCGAGAUCAAAUGAAAAGUUGGAACUCAAAACAUACAUCCAUUAAUCUUGAUAUAAAAUUUCUAUUCAUCCGACAUCAAAUGAAAAAGUUGGUACUCAAAAUAUACAUCCUUUAAUCUAGUCGUGCUAAUCCUUACCACCAAAUAAAAAAACUAGCAUGUGUUGUGUGUUUCUGACCGUAAACGAUCACAAAUGAAUAACUUAUGGGUGUUGCUAGCGUCCCGGACGCUAGCAUCGGACGCAUGAGCAGCCGUCCGAUCGGGUCCGACACCACUUCACGAUCUGUCUUAAAAAAAAGUCCCACCGAAACAUUGUUCCAUGUUGCAUGAAAUACCCCACUAUCCAUCGCCAGGUCUACAGCAAGCACCACCUUCCAAUCUGCUGCUCACCCAAGCUAAAUAGGGGCAUUAAAAUUGCAGAAAUAUGUCACAUAUCCUUGUCAAAUUAAACUAAAUCGCAACAUCCGAAAAUUUCUUACACAAAACCAUGAAACAUAUCGAUUAGAUAGGUGUAACAAGAUGGAAUAUGGUAUCCAACAUAUAGAUUCCGAAAAACAGAUGAAACAUUAUGUAACGAUUGUUGAAACAGUCGAGAAAUAUAGAUGUAACGAUUAAAAUUUAGAAAAGAAGCUUUAUGCAAAUUGCAAAAAGCUGAAAUAAGUGGUUGAAACAUUUCGAAUCACCAAAUGCCACAUUUGAAAUGGCUACAUGAAACAUCACGAAAUCAAUUGCAACAGUUGAAGAUGAAAACAUUCAAAUGCCUUGCCUUUCUCCAGAUUUGACCCUCCAAGCAUGAGUCCAGCCAUUUGCACAUUAGACCCUUGGGAGGAGCUCACCGGAGAACAACAAGACCGUGUUCUCCAACAAUUUUCUGAUCAAAUUGCAACAGACAAAACAAAGCAUUGCAACAUCUGGCAUCACGAGCUACAACAUCAACAAGUUAGGAUCAGGAGAAAGAGGGAAAACACAAGCCUAACAACCCCAAGACAAAACUGAUGUACUCAUCAUACAUCACGGCUUGCCGUGCACAGAGAUGAAGGCCGCCAAGCUCAAUCGAGACAGAGACGACGUGAUAGUGCUCCAGAUCGACGGUCCCCAUCAAUUGUUGCGUACACUGCCAAAAGCAAUGGAAGAAGAAGGGUCGUCCCUGCUCGACCUCCGUAGAUGAGCGCAGAUUGGGGGAAACCGUAUAGAGUGCCGCUGACAGCACAGGCGAGGGGGCUCAGGCUUGAUUCAGGGUGAGGGUAGCGGGUAGCAUGAGGAGACAGUCAGGUUUCAUAGGAGAGAGGCGGAGUAGAGAGCUCUGGUGACUCGGUGAGGAGGGUGCGGCACGGAGAAAGGUGUGUAGCUGAAGGAGCUACAUGGUUGGGGCGAGGCGAGCGUAGAGACUAGAGAGGGAAAAAAAGCAUGGGGAGGAGACGAUAUGUGGUUGAUGGUGCGGGCACGUGGUGAGCGCACCGUAUGAAAAUUUUGCUCGCGUCGGAUGACUGAUGUGAAGCAUUACCCAAUCUUAAUUAUCUCCCAUAAUCCAAAACUCACAAAAACAUCAAAAAUCCGCCGAGAAUAAAUUAAGUAAACCAUGCACACACAGAUAAUAAAAUUGCUAAUAAGGCCAGAGAUAAUACAUGAACAUAUUAGACUGUUCAUGACACAUAUCACGGUGGAUAGUGUCUGUGUCCUUAUUACAAGCAAUGAGAGAUGCUUGUCACCACACACACGCGCACAGAUGCAUGACAUACAUAUAGUUGAGACCAACAGAUGGAUCAACUAGAGGUCACCCCAUAUGGUGAACAAUUUAUUGGAGAUAAACAUUAACAUAACUUGGCCAUAGCUUGAAGCAUAGCAACAUAUGCCUAUGAAUGGCGUUCAUGCUAUCGUUUUAGGCUUGUCCAGCUUCUUUCAUCUUAGCAAGCACUUCCAUUUCUACCAUCUUAGCAGCAACUGUCAAAUUGAGAUAUGGAAAUCCCAUUAGCGCAUGAUUAAUUUUGCAGUGGAAAUAGAGUGCAAGAUAUCUUCAUGAUGUAAAUAACAUGCCUGAAGUUGUGAGAUGGGAAGUGAAGUCAACAAAUUACAUUAACGGAAAUGCAUGGAAGGCCACACAUACGUAUUAGUCCAUAAUACGCUACAAAGCUUGUAUGUACAUAUAGCAAAUUAAAUGCAUUAAUUGAAUAGAGUGAGUUUAGUGAAUUUACCAGAAUCGUCCAGAAAACAUGGGAAACAGCAAGUGUGCUUGCAGACUGUGUCGGAGCCACCCACACGAAUACAAAGCUGACAACAUGCUUGUGCCUCGUGGGAUACGCAGCAGCCGCACUGUGCCGCGGUGGCCGAGUUAACAUUGAGGCUCAAGAUGAACAGGCACAUGAUCACCAUCAAAGUGGUAGUCCUCUUUCCCUCCAUUGCCUCCUGUCGCUGCUACCUUCCUUGGUUACUAGUAAGUUUAUUGGUUUUGUGUUGAGAGGUGAUUCUUGCAUUGAAUGGACGUUGCCGCGGCUGCAAUUUAUAGGCAGCUGCGCUAUGUGAUGAUAUGGACAAGGUGCAAAUGGGUGGUCCUGAUAU
rnacentral:lncRNA from 1 species